rnacentral:lncRNA from 1 species
ACCUCGCUCCUCUGUCGCCCCACUCUCCUCUGGGCUCUCUCCAGAUCCCCUUUCCCUCCUCCUCCACGACGCGCUCGUCGCCGGCCACUUCGCCCCGCCGCGACCACCGCCGCCCCCGCACCUCGUAGACACGUCUACGAGGUCCACCAUCGCCCUCUCCAUCGGUUGGUGCCGCGCGUUGGAGCUCCUCAGCUCUGCAUCACGAGAUCGCCGUCGUCUUCUUCCUCUUCGGUCGCCGGCGUCGUCGUCGAUUCCGACGAAGCCUGCAGCUCCUAAGCCUCCCAACAGCCUCCGUGUGCCUCUGUGGUGAGCUCCUCGACUGAUUCCCCUCGUUUACCCCGUCGAUCUGUCGCCGUAGUGUCACCUCGUGAGCUCGCGCCCGCCAUGGCCGAAGCCUGCCGUACCCGCGCCCGGAGCUCCGCUCCCGCACGCUGGUCACAUCACCUGCUGCGCUCUGCCUACCCUGGGGCCGCGCCCACCUCUGCCCUCGCCCAGUUGCGUCGCCCCCGCUCGCCGUUGCCUGCCUUACUUCUACUAUCGCAUGCUGCUGCCUUCCCCUCCCGCUGCUUGCUCUGCUUGUGCUACUGCCUGCUGCUACCACUGCUCCCCGCGCGCCGCUGCCGUCUGGCCGCAUCCUGGUUGUGUCCGUCGUUGCUAGCCGGCGAUGUCCAUGCACGCGACGCCGCGCUCGGCGCUGCUUGUUGUCGUGCCUGCUGUGCUCUUAGGUGACUGCUUUCUGCUACUACAUGCCGCUGAUGUUGACUACUGUCGCUACUGUCUCUACUAUCUCUGUGUGGUACUGCGCCGCUUCUGCUGCCGCUGCUAGCGCUGCGUACUGCUGCUGAUAGCUCCUGCCCGUUGCCAAUUGCUAAUGCGCUUAGUGCUGCCCGUUGCUGCUAUCGGCCAUGGCUGAGUGUGUGCUGUGUGGCGUGUGUGUUCUGUGUGUGUGGGUGGCCGGCCCAAGAAUUAGUUAGGGCUAAUUCUGUUGCUAGUUAGGCUAAUCAGUACUAACUACUUAAAUCAGUUCCUACCCUAAGACAUGUGGCCUCCCCUCUAAUUAGGAUUGCUUUAUUUAUCUCAUUAGGUGAAUAGUCUAUGUCAAUGGAUCACUGUGAAAUUAAACUAAACAAGCAAAUCUGUUAAAAUUUUAGUCUAUGACAUGUGGGUCCAUUGACCCUGUUGACCUGUCAAAGUUUGACUGGUCAACUGUUUGACUGGCCUACUGACUGGACCCCACUGUCAUACACUUAGGCUAACCGCUAGUGGGUAUAAAAAGUAAUCUCAUAUAUUUAAUGUUUGAAUUAACUAGAUAAAGAAAAUUUCAAAAAUCAAUAAAACUUUGAAAUAGAAAAUAAUUCGUAACUCCGAUGAAAAAGUUUUAUACUUGAAAGUUGCUCAGAACAAUGAGACGAAUCCGGAUACGCUCUCUGUUCAUCCGCCACACGUCCCUAUCAUAGCGAACAUGCAACCAUCCCCUCCGUUUCAUCUGUUCGAAAAUGCCAAACUUCGAGAAAUCAUUCCCGGAUGUUAUCCCCCCUCGCCGGUAUCGUGUAGCACCGCGUUAGAACACGUCUAGCUCUGUCUGUUGUCCUGUUAUGCUCUUGCUUGCUAUGUAUUUACUGUUUCUUCCCCCUCUUCUCUUCGGUAGACCCCGAGACCGCUGCCGAUGCCGCUGUGAUUGACUACGUCGACGACGACACUUCUUCCUUUUCAGCAGAGCUUCCAGGCAAGCCCCCCCUUUGAUCAUCCCGAGAUCGCCCAUUCCAUUCUCUCAUGCUUGCAUUAGAUUUUGCUACUGUAAUUGAUUGCUCCUAUUCUGAUGCAUAGCCUGCUUUUGUAACUUGCUUAUUGUUACCUACCUGCUUAUCCUAAACUGCUUAGUAUAGCUUGGUUAGUGAUCCAUUAGUGAACCCCACCUUGUCCUUGUUGCCCCUGCUUCAUCAUCAAAGACCCGAUUAACGGGAUCGAAGACCAGGCCCCGACACCGCAAAUCACCUUCCUCUUAGUUGCUCGACGCUACGGGGUUACUAUCGAGUGCCGAGGGUGAGACCUCUUCAGCACUUCUGAUGUUAACCCUGUAGUGUAGCUAUUCGGUCGUGGUCAUCGAGGGUGAUUUCCUCCUUAACCACUUCCGAUACGACUCUGUCGUGCAACCCCUCAAGUGUGAACCUCGAGGGUGGUCCCUCUUACGUUCACCUUGAUGAUUACAUCGAGUGGAAUUCGCUGGGGGUGAUUCCUCGGGUUUUCCCCUUGAUGUUUGGACACACGGAUACUUGGACUCUACCACCGCUACUUGGAAAGGCGGGUCGACCAUGAGGGGUACCCGCGAGUGAUGUGGAGACAGGUUGACCUGGAGGGUGCCCGCGAGAUAAUUACGAGGCGUGGCCGGGCAUUCCUAGCCCUUGCCGCAAGUCCUCGAGACGGGGCAACGGGGUCACAUCUUUCGUGAGUCUCUGCUUGUUACCGCGUGCUCCUAAUCCACUACGAUUUGGAUAUUUGAUCCAAGAUGCCUCUGGCCUGAUAGCACUAACCAUCAUGUGGGCAUAGUAUGGGCGUUCUGCGUCGUAUGCAUCAGCCGAAGCUUAAUAGACGUCAGCGACUGAGCGGCGCGCGCCGGGUUGGACUGGUAAGCACCUGCCUUUUUACGAGGUAGCUAGGUCUGCUCACCGGCCGCGUACACAACGUGCAGGAGUUCCCGGGGCGAUGGCCCAUGACCCCUGGGGGCAUAGGUUUAGUUCGGCGUGCUGACCUCUCUAUUAAGCCUAGGUCGGGUUGCGGCGUAUUGUUUGGCCGAGGCCGGGCAUGACCCAGGAAAGUGUGUCCGGCCGGAGUUAAUCGAGCGUGGUGGGUAAGUUGGUGCACCCCUGCAGGGAAGAAAACAUCUAUCGAUAGCCUGUCCUACGGUAACGGACACUUGGAGUUGUAUCCCGAUCGAUACAACUAGAACUGGAUACUUGUAAUGAGUAAUGGAUUGUGAUGAUAACCGGAUAGCAUGGCUCUGGGAUUGCUUUCUCGCAGGGAGUCGAGAAAGGAUCUCUGGCCGAGGUUGAUAACACUACUACUACUUUACUUUAUGCUACUCUACUCCCUCCUGUUGCUGCAAGAUGGAGGUUUCCAGAAGAUGCUAGUCUUCGAUAGGACUAGGCUCUCCCCUCUAUUCUGGCAUUUCUGCAGCCCAGUCCACAUAUACAGCCUUCCUUUGAUAAUGUUGCAUAUGUAGUGUAGAUCCUUGCUUGCGAGUACUUUGGAUGAGUACUCACGGUUGCUUUGCUCCCCCCUUUCCCCCUUUCUUCUUCUUUCCGGUUGAUGCAACCAGAUGUCGGAGCCCAGGAGCCAGAUGCCACCGUCGAUGCCUACUACGUGGAGACCGCCGACGACCAGGAGUAGUUAGGAGGCUCCCGGGCAGGAGGCCUUGCCUUUUCGAUCGUUGCUACUUUUGUGCUAGCCUUCUUAAGGCAAACUUGUCUAACUUAUGUCUGUACUCAGAUAUUGUUGCUUCCGCUGACUCUUGUGUAUUCGAGCUUAUGUAUUCGAGCCCUCGAGGCCCCUGGCUUGUAAUAUAAAGUUUGUAUUAUUUUAAUUUGUGUCUAGAGUUGUGUUGUGAUAUCUUCCCGUGAGUCCUUGAUCUUGGUCGUACACAUUUAUGUGUAUGAUUAGUGUACGAUUGAAUUCAGGGCGUCACAACCAGCCCACAAGGGGCUGGCGCGCCCCUUUCGUUGGCCGCCGGCCCUAGGGAAGGAAAGGGGGAGGGCUAGCUCCUCUUUCCUUCCCUCCACCUAGGAGGAAGGAAGGGGGCGCCACCUCCUCCUGCCUUCCCCCCACAGGCAUACAAGGAAGGGGGCGCUAGAGGGCAGGAGCCCAAGGGGACCGGCCGGCCACCCUUGGGGCGCCUCCUGGCUGCCUCCCCUUCCCCACACCUAUAUAUAUGAGGGAGGGGGCGCCACACAACCCCACGACAAUCUCUUAGCCGUGUGCGGCGCCCCUCUCCAUACUUUAGUCCUCCGUCCAGUUUCUCCGCAGUGCUCGACGAAGCCCUGCGGGAACGCGUUCAUCAUCGCCGUCACCAUGCCGUCGUGCUGCCGGAACUCAUCUACUACUUCGCCCGUCUUGCUGGAUCAAGAAGGCGAGGACGUCAUCGAGCUGAACGCGUGCUGAACGCAGAGGUGUCGUACAUUCGGGACUUUAUUGGUUGGAUCGCGAGGAAGUUCGACUACAUCAACCGCGUUAAUAUACGCUUCCGCUAAACGGUCUACGAGUGUACGUAGACAUACUCUCCCCUCUCGUUGCUAUGCAUCUUCAUGGAUAGAUCUUGUGUGUGCAUAGAAUUUUUUUGUUUUCCAUGCAACGUUCCCCAACAAUAUCUUUAUGUUUGCCACUAAGAAGGAGAAAUUAACUAUUGGAAACAUCAUUUAAAUGCAAUAUUCCAUACGAUAUAACUCAUUACAAAGAUCUCAUAUACACGCAUGAUUAUGUUUAAUAUGAACCUCAUUGUCUCGUAAAAUAUCGUGAAUUUGCAUGGUCACAGAUAGAACAAAAGAUAGCAAAUAAACUGCGAUCUAUCUCAUUUGUCACAAAAAGAAUAACAACCAUCACAUGUGUUGUUCUAACCUGAAUUAAAAUAACUAAAGAUACGUGACAAAUAUUUCAAAUAUGGGAUAAUCUUCCUUAAAAAGGAAGGGUAAUAGGAGAUUGGGUUGUGUGAGGAAGGAGAGCAGAUAAAUCGAGGAUUUUUCAGAGAUCGGGGUUGCUCUUCAUGGUUGAUUUAUUAUAGAAACUAGAUCGGUGCUUCGGGCUGGUGUUGAUUUUGGGAUGUGUACAAGCAGUCGGGCGACCACUAUAUGAUACUCUUCUUUUUUCGAAUGGGCUUCGCUUUUGCUUCUACUAUGAGAAAAAUGAGAGCAAAAGAAUUUGUGAUCGCUGUUGCUACUAUAUGACGAUUUGCUGCUACUUUUUGUUGUAUCGACUAUUUGUCGUGUGAACCACCGGUGGGUGUUAAGCUGAGUUGGUUCAUAUAGGAUGAAAGAGGCGUAGGAAAUCAUCCAGAACAUUCUCGAUGAAUUCCCAAACGUCGCAAGCGAAGCUUCGUAAGGUCCUUUAGUAAUUUGAUUCAAAGUUAUCCAACAACAAUUUUCUCUAUUACACAUUGCAUGACUCUGGACCUGAACAAUUGCACUAUGAGAAUUAAGAAUUAUACACAAGUAUGGGGAUAGGCAGGGGUGUCGCCUGCCAUCUAUACUACUAUUAAAAAAGCAAACAUAACUCCCUCUAAAGCCACACAACGAAGUGUACACAGGAGUACCGGAGACGUUAGAUCAAUCAAACUAAAUUACAUCCAACAAUCCAUAUUACAUCCAAAGUCUGCCACAUAAACUAACGCUUCAUAUUAAAUGUUCUGCCAGUCAGACUACCUCGCGCACGUCCUGCCCUCCGCACAUCACGCCGCUAAACGCAUCUGAACCCAACAAAUUAUCCACUGCCCCGACUACGCCGCUGCCUUCCUUCCCCACCGCUGUGACGCCUCCCAGCCUCUGCCGCCGCCCCACGCGACGGACGCCAUCUCUCCCCUAUUUCCCUCUUCACCUCCACGGCCACGCCGCGUCGCCGGCCGAGCCCCGCUGCGGUCGCUAUGUUCCGCCGCGCCGCCCCUUAGCCCCACACCUAAGCCGCAGCCGAGAUGCAUCUGAGCGAGAACGAGGGGAUCGAGGGCGUGCGGUUCGCGGUGACUGGCGGGCAGGGCUUCGUCAGCGCUGCGCUAUGCCUGGAGCUGAUCCGCCGCGGCGCCCUGCAGGUCUGCUCCCUCGACGACUCGACCUGCGUGAGUGCUCCUCUUGGUCCCAGCAGCUCCUCGACGUCGGCGUCCGCUUCUUCCAAGGUUCUCUCCCGCACUCUCUUUAGCUUAAAUUACUGUGGUUCUUUUCUUCUGCCGCGCGUGAGACUUAAAUGCAGCGUCUCAGCGAAGAAGGUAAUUUGUUUUUCUGUCCAAUGCGUUGAAGCUACAAUGUACGUGCUUAGAAAAUUGUUUAGGGCGGUGUGAGACUUAUAAUGCCUGCCAACUUAGUGAAUUGAUAAACCUGGAAGUUUGUGUUUUUCACUUCACUUGAAUUUGCACAAUUCAGUUAUGUGUUCAUUGAAUGGAUUUGACAUGACAUUUCCUGCAGGCAAUGAGGGAAGUAGAUGGGCAUGGCUGAUCUGUUCGUCAUGCAGUUAUGUGCUAUCUUAUUCCUUGAUGCUGAGUGUGAUUCCAUGCAUGUGCAAGCUAUAUGUACUCUUAAGCUAUUAGUGUUCUCUAACUUAUUUCCUACUAUUCCUGUAUGGUACCAUGUCAGAUUUAGAACCCAGCAAAGAAAUAUGGCAGAAAUUUGCAUAUUAAUUUUUCUUGUGCAGGUUUGAGAUAUAAAUGUCAUACAGAUGCUUCUUUGCCAUGAGUGUGUAAACUUGAUGAGGCAACAUGGUCUUCAAGCACAAGAAAUACCCAUGGACGUGAGUGCGGGCUGCCGCUCCGCCCUCCACUCCUCUGCUUGACCACCGCCGCCGCCAUGUCGAGGCCCUCGCCACCAAGCGGCAUGCUUUCCCGUGAGCUAGCUUCUUCAACACCUGUUUCUCUGAAUUUCUACAAGCUAAAUUAGUACUCCCAUGGACGUUGGCCUGUAUUGGAUUCUUGUACGGUAUGAUUUGCCCAAUCAGCACACCCAUGGACAGGGCAAGAAAAAUAAUUAGAAAGCAUGAAAGAUGCCAAUCAAUACUUUCUGUUGGAUAUAUCAAUUGUUUUAGCUCUUCCUACACCCAACUGGCACAUUCUAAAUUCUGAAGGUUUCAGCUGGAAUUCCCGUUCCGUUCAUACAUUCCAAUUUGGCGUUUUAGUUCAAAAUUAGAAGUUGGAGUCUGUGUAUAGUUAUUCUCAUGUCCAUCAUAUGAACUAUGCUUGUGUACUCAUGUUGAAUUGAUGUAUGAUACUGAGUCUUUGCAUUUUCAAUCGCCUUUCACUUUCUUCAUGAUUUGGUGGAUGUGCAUUUUCACAUAAUUUUUAACAAACCAAUUCAUAUUUUCGUCGAGCUUAAAUCAUUUUGUUCUUUUAUAAUGGUUGGAGAUGUGGUUUAGGAGGAUCAGCAGCUAAUGGCAAACGUGCUAGCAAGCCCCGAGUGCGGUGGCCCGUGCAACAUGAAGAAGACCAUCCGGACAAAGGGCAGGUACACAAAUAGCUAAGAACACAAGGAGACGUGCAGGUCUGCGUUUCUGAGUUAUAUCUCUUUUAGCACUAGCGAUUAAAUGGUCUGUAGCUGGUCAGGCGUGCUUGCCUAAAAUGUACUUUAGUAGUUGCUAGAGCAAUGCUAGCUUCUAUGUUGUUCUUGCAGCCUCAACUAGCUAAUUUUAUUUAAAGCAAAUGUUGUUCUAUCCUUCCAAUUACUGUUAUUCAGAUCUUCUUUUCUUUUUUCUGUUGUCAUUCACAGUACAAAUGUUAUGAGAAUUUCAGGAAUUUUGUCAUAUCUUUCUCCCAGGUACCUUAAUUUUGUAAGCAAGAUCUCAAGAAAGUAUAUAGGGAGGAGAUUGACAAGGUGCAUGCAAGAUCUCAAGUUCAUUGCUGUCUUUUUCUGUAUGAACAUUUUCUUAUUUGGAGUUGCAGCCGAUUUAUGGUGUACCAACCGACUUGGCUUGGGAUGUAUUGUAGUUGGUUUGGUUGCAUCAACCAACAAGUCUUAUUAUGUAUUGCAGUUGGUUUGGUACCAUCAGCCGACUGGCCGGUUGGAAAACAAGCGGGGAAAACAUGUACUGUGAGCUCCCCUCGCAUUCAGAGUUUGGAGCUUGAUGAAUAAUGAUGUGUGAGCUUGUUGAUGAUCUGCUAUUUUUCACAAAAUUGGGACAUGUCGGAUGGUCGAUGUGAGGUUCUCAAGUAAAAAAAUUCCUCAUUUGUCCGUUGUGAUAGUCUGAUGGAAUUUUGUUGAUAAGAACCUACAAUUUCUUGGGUAAGUUUGGGUUAGGAGUUCCGUAUCUAUGCGCCAAGAGAGUAUGUUGAUAAGAACCUACAGUUUCUUGGGUAAGUUUGGGUUAGGAGUUCCGUAUAUAUGCGCCAAGAAAGUAUACAGGAAAUCAUGAUAUGCUUUUUUUGCAGUGCCAACACUGAAAAUGUAAAGUGUGUUAUGCAUGACUUUUAUAUGUGUUUUAGGAAUUGGAGGAUAGUUCUAUAAACAAAAUUCCUUAUUCUGCACUUCUCUGCUUUGCUUGGCAGGAAUUCUUGUUGUAAAGAGCGAAGGCAUGGUUUGGUUUGCAUGACAUUAUAUCUUCAAUUGGCUGGAGAUAUAUAAAUGUUGUACUUGAUUUUCUCACCUGGCAUCUUAUCACUUCUGUGAAAGACACUUGAUUUUCUCAUAGUAAUAGUUCUUUAUUAUUGUUGAUACAUAAAUGGAUCUUUAUUGAAUGGUUCUUGUAUGUGUGUAUGGAGAAUGGUGAUUAACCUUUUAAAUAAUCCAUUUUCCAACAAGGUGAUUCUAAUUUCUGAUUAGAUUAUACUAUUACAAUAUGAUUAACAAAAAUUCAAACGGUUGUAUAUUUGACACAUACUGCAAUGGGCAGAAGCCCGCCUGUAUAUUUUGUUUGAAUACUGAAAUUCAUUUACAGGGGAUUAUAAUCAUUUGGGCGCUAUGCAUUGAGAAAGUGUGCAUUUAGAUAAGAGAUUAUAUAAUUAACGCAAAGAUGUGCUAUGUUUUUUUCAACAAGAAUGUUGAUCAUGAAGAAUGAUAAUCAAAUUAUUUGUAUGAGUUAAGAAAUGCACUUUGUAUGAAUUUUCAAAAAUUUCACGAAAUCUAUCUAUAUUUCAUUAAAGCUUUUUUAUGUUUAAUACGUGCGUUGCACGUGCACGCUUACUAGUUAUUACAAGUUCGCAAAAUUAACAUUAUCGUCAUCGCCUUGAGAUUGAUCACAAACACAUAAAAUAGGUGGACAAGACCACCAUCAGCAAUGAUAGCUAAGAGGAGUGGCAACGCAUAUAUCAUAACUAGACCAUAAUAGCGCGCGUUGUCACGCCCGUCCAUUUUUAUUAUAAUAUAAUAAAUAAAUUUUCGGAAUACUUGAUGUUGAAUUGGGAAGUUAUGUUAUGCUUGUCAAUGCCACAAUUUUUCAUCUCAAUUUUUUAUUCACUACUGAACAUUAAAAAGGCAAAAGAAGAGCGAAUUUCUCUGCUAUUAUUUUAUUUUUACUGUUCAUACCCAGUACAGAAUAGCCACAUCCAAAGAAUAUGCACUAUUUAUCAAACACCAUAUUUUCUCUUUUUCACAAAAGAAGGUACCAUAUUUUCUCAACACGAACAAAGUGGCAGAAAAAACGGAAAUUCACUUUGACACAUGGGAACAUAUGCCAAAAAAUUUCCGAACACAAAUUUGACAUAUACAUCUCAUCAUUGUAUGUGCGCACGCCAAGUUUCAUGAAAAUCCGACAUUUUAUACUCCUUGUGUAGAAAAGACAAAAAAAUGUCUCAUGAAAAGCCUAUUUUAACACUAAAUUUUGUCUGUUUUACAUGUGAUACAAAAGUUGUCGGUUUUCCGCGAAACGAGUUUGUGUGCACGUAGAAUGUCGAGAUGUACGCGGGAAUCAUUUUUUCUGGAUUUUGUGACAUUUCAAAAUAUUAUUAAAACUCAUUCAAAAAACGAGGAGCAUAUACUCCCAUGUGCCAAAACGCCUCUCUCAAAAACAACAAAAAAAUAGGUUUAUAAAAGAGGAGAGAUCAAUAUCUCAACCUCGCGUUCCAACCACAAAAAGAAAAAAAAGAACACUAUCACCUGAAGCUUCACUCUUAUAUUUGCACAUCUAUGCGUUGUACGCAGGCAUGCAAAGCACACAAUAAAGUGAUAACCUAAACGUAAUUCAUCAUUUUGCCAACAGAAAUUAUACUCUAGUGUAAGAGUUUUUACAUCAUUCAUUGACAUCACAUCAAGAUACAUGUAGUUUGCAGCCACCAAUAGAAAUAAUCAAGACGCACGAGUUUGCAAAAUAAGAAAGCGAUGUAAGUAGCGAUAACCCAAUUCGGUGACCAAGCUCAUCUGCACCCGGUCAGAAAAAAAUCAAAACAAAUUCAAAAAAAUGAUUUUUUUGUGUGAUAGACAAUUAUAUGCGUGAGGUUCGCUUCAAAUUUCAACUUAUUUGAACAUCUGAGCAACUCUCAGCAAAAACAACAAAUCGGGUCAGAACAAUGUGUGAACAAUAAACCUUUUUACAGACCCUGGAUUUAUCUUUUUUGUUGAGAGUUGUUCAGAUGUCCAAAUGAGUUGAAACUUGGAGCGUACAUCACGCAUAAAUUUAUCUACUGCAAAAAAUGUUUUUAAAAUGUUUUUUGUCUUUAUUUUGAAUUUUUUGCCAGGGGUACAAAUGAGCUCGGGAGCAGAAACGCCACACUCAGUAGCGAACGGGAGAUGGAGGUAGUGCAAGUUCCACAUAAGACUGAUGGAUCUAGCUACCUAAAUGGCAUUGUAGAUCUCUCGUAAGCGCCACAAAUCUUAAAUAUGUCCAUGCUUACACAAACAUUGCUUGCUAAAAGUAAGUGUCAGAAAGAAGUAGAAUAUAAUUACCUCAUGACAACAUUUUGCUUUUUCACCGUGAUUGUACGAUGCCUGCGACACAUGAAUCGGUUUGUGCAUUCUCGUGUUAUUGAGUCAAAGUUCAAGACAAUAUCCCAAACAAAGACAGUCACACCAAGCCAUCAAACCGCACACUACUCUUGAUUCCGAACCACUACCUAGAGUUGUGGAAUCACUCAAAUAGAUGUUCCCAUAAGGGCUCUUUAAAUCUGCAGAAGAGAGGUAGUUUAUUAUUUACUUAUAUAAUUUUUUUUGAAACAUGUAUCUCCUUUCUAAAAAUGAAAAUACAUUAUAAUCCCAGAGUACAUAAAAUAAAUUUAGCAAGACACAACCCCCCAUCAACGCCGUAACCCACAAACCACCAACAAUCAAAAUACAAUAGUUUCUAAAUUCUGCAAAAGGAUAAGACAACACAAAUACACAUGGCUAACUGUACAUAAAGUGAUUGUUAAUUAAAAUCAGGAAAACACUUCUUUUUGCCCGACUGAACUCUUGGCGUAAUCACCCCUCCACCUGAUGACGCGUGUCCUUGUGUGGGCCUGCCCACCGUUGUCGCCCUUCUAUCUUAUCACUUUGUUCGUGAAGGCAAACCACACCGCCUGGACUUUUUUUCCUCUUCUUCUUCCCUGUCACCCGCUUGUUUCCUCCACCACCUACCGCCGGCGUGAGUUUACGGCGCUACCAGACCACCACCGUUGUGCGUCCCCGGCCACCGCGUGCGAGGAUUUGUUGCCUUCACCGCCGUUGUUGCAGAACUAGCUUCGCAGCAGCGGAGCCGCUGCAAAAUUGGAGGGAGGGCGCGAACAUGGCUGCUGCAUCCAUGGCUACGAGUAGUGGAGCGUCCUCGCCGACGACACCUGCCUCGAAACAACACGAGAGGGAGUCGUGUGCUUGCGGUGUGCUGCAAUUGAGCCUCCGCGCAUGGCCGCCCGCAUUGCAUCGCGUGCGACCGCCGGUGCAGCGGAGCGUCGCCGGCAUUGCGACGACGGCCACGACCGGCGGCCAUGAUGUUGCAACUCCGGCGCUGUGAUGGCGACCGCAACGGGUCGGCCAUGGCAUUGCAACUCUGAUGUGGCAAUGGUGCUCCGUCGGGGCUGCGACGACGGCUGUGAUGGGCCGGCCAUGGCGUUACAACUCCGGCGCUUCAAUGGAGCUUUGUUGGGGCUGCAAUGGAGCAUUGUGGGGUUGUGGAAGAUGUGAUGGUGAUGCAAUGGAACAUCGUCCGCCGCCGGCAAUGCUGCGUUGAAGCUCUCGCAUGCUCGGUGCUGCAUGGCGUUGCCACAAUCGAAAGGACACUAGCUCGCAGAUCGGAUGGCUGGCUAGGCGGAUGAUUUCCUAGAGAAAUCAUCCAAUUGCUUUGUAGCAGCCGCCUUAAAAUCAACAUACUUGAAUUUGUACCGGAUCAUACAACAAUCCUUUUGCCCAUCAUUCGUUGUCUACCCAAAAAGAAAAAACUAUUAUCCGGCAUGGCGAUGAUGUUGCCGGAAUCGCUCCAUGUUUCGUUCAAGUAACACUUCCAAUGAUAGGCCUUAAUUCUCACUUGGACUUUUUUUCCAAUUAUUCAUGUACUUUGGAUUUAAAUAUCUAGAUCGUCAACCAGUACCUUAAAUGGUAUUAGCUUUGCCUACUAUUUCCUUAUUUUGAUCUGACCCUGUUCCUCGUGGUCACUAUAUUUUUGUUUGUUAUAGCAUUUGUCCAUAUGAUAUAAUCUUCGGUUGCUAAUAGAAAGCCACCUCAUUAUUUCCCAUGGACAGGAGUAUGCACAAAAAUUUCUCGCUUCAACCAGCUUGGAUUGCCAUAUUGGUUAGUACAAAUGGUAUAUAUUUUUAAUAGAACAAUCAUUUGUGCUGGACAAUAAGUAAAAAGACUGGAGAGGUUUUGAACCUGCGACUGAAAGGGCGUACAGUGCGAAGCCAUCGGAAGCCAUGCAAGCACACAUCCUGGCAGCUGACGCUCACACUUAGCUUCACCACUAGCAAGUCUCAAGCACGUCCAUGUUUGACUCAUGCCUUCCUAUCCUACUGGGUGCUCCUCAUCUCAUCUGCAUCCUCCCUUCACCCAGCACAAAGAAGCGAUGGAGGUAGGAAGUGGCGUGGAGGCUCUGAGGCGGCUGGAGAUGGCCGGAAAGGAAGUGUAACCUGGAGGUCCGACCUCUCUUCUCUGUUCAGCUCUAGGCGAUCCGCCAUCCCAACUCCCCUACCACCGCCACCAGCAUGAAGCCCCUGAUGUGGUCGCUGAUAAACAACUCUCGCUUCCUGUCACUGUCCUCCCACACUCGUCGCGACAUCAUGCAAUGGAAUAGGUCCAUAGGGUGCCCACGAAAACAAUGUCGCGCAUCAUCCCCCAUCUCAUCACUCCGCCAUAGAUCCACGCAGGCGGAUCUGUCGCUCGCUACCUGGUUCCGUCUUCACUCCCCAUCGGUCACCGAUGGAAUUUUUUGACUUUGUUUCUCAUGGCGGCUGAGCACUGCUGGCAGAGGAGAGGACAACGGCGGCAACGGUGGUCGAAGGAUAGAGGAAAGAUAGAGACAUAGGGACGAGCGAAGAUGUGGACUGGACCAUGUAACCGGGUCCCAUGUACUCAUCCAAUCAACCACCGCAAACGUAGAUGGUUUUGUGGAGUAGUGGCCAGUGACCCAAGAAACGGCUUGCAAUCUAUGCAAUGUGAGGCCAACAACGAUGAAGCAUUGUGGAGGCUCGUAGGUCAUUUUGUUAUACUGUUUCUUAAUGGACGUACAAGGAUAAGUUUUUCUUUUCUUGCAAAGCAUGAUAUGUUAUCAUCGUCUGGAUUUUCUUAAUGGACGUACAAGGAUAAGUGAUGCAAACGAUUGGAAAUUCCAAAUGAUUGAAAGAAUUGAUAUUUUCCGGAAUUAGUUGUGUUAAAUUUGCAUCAAUCCGGCGAAGUGUAGUGCCCUUUUUGAUAAUGCAUGCACUAUGGAUAAACAGGAUGCGGUUAGAUCAAUUCUUUGCAUUGGUACAGUAACCUUUGAGGAGAAGUACCUAGGGCUGCCAACGCCCGAGGGUCGCAUGACGCAAGGUAAAUUUCAGAAUCUGCAAUCACGUCUCUUGAAGAGAAUUAUAGCUUGGGGUGAUACCCUCUCUCUGGCCGGUAAGGAGAUCAUGAUUAAGGCGGUUGCUCAGGCUAUCCCUACCUAUAUUAUGGGUGUCUUCAAGCUCCCUAUGUCAGUGUGUGAUGACCUGAACAGAAUGGUACGGAACUUCUGGUGGGGCUCAGUGGAUGGUAAAAGGAAAACACACUGGUUAGCAUGGCCAAAAAUACAGGCUCAUAAAUCAAAGGGUGGCCUGGGAUUCAGAGACUUCCGCAUCUUCAACCAGACCCUCCUCGCGAGACAGGCUUGACGCUUGCUAACUAAGCCUAACAGUUUAUGUGCGCAGGUGCUCAAGGCCCGUUAUUAUCCUGACGGACGACUUGAGGAUACGGUCUUCUCGGGGAACGCCUCGCCGACUUGGCAGGCUGUCCAAUACGGCCUCGAGCUCCUGAAAAAAGGCAUCAUCUGGCGUGUCAGCGACGGGCAAAACAUCCGCAUAUGGCGCGACCGGUGGAUCCCGCGAGAGCCAUCCUGCCAACCCAUCACACAACAGGGUACCUGCCGCAUCAGAAGGGUGGCGGAGCUCCUAGAUGAGAGGGGCUCCUGGCGGGUGGGUCUCCUUCGGCGCUACUUCCUCCGGGCGGACGUUGAUGCGAUUACUAGCAUCCGGACAUCACCACGCGUCACGGACGAUAUCAUCGCCCGGGCACCGGAGAAGAACGGCAUCUUCACCGUUCGCUCCGCAUACCGCCUUGCCAUGGACGAGCGCGAGCGUCCAUUGGCUACCGCCACGAGCAGGGCACCGGAUGGUCGUCGCGCCAUCUGGAAGAUCAUAUGGGGGUGCCCUGCUCCCCCUAAGGUACGCGUCUUCGCAUGGAGAGUUGUGACUAAUUCACUUGCUACAUGGGCCAACAAAUUUUCUCGCCACCUCGAGCUUACUGACUUAUGUCCCCUCUGUGGCAUGGAACGAGAGGACGGAUUCCACGCAUUCUGCAGGUGCCCACUAGCUAGCGAGCUAUGGCGUGCCAUGGCGGUGGACUGGAACAUCCCCAAGCUGGAGUCCAUCAGCAACCCCGGACCGGAGUGGCUCUUCACACUGUUGGAACCCCUAGAUGACACGACAAGGAUGGUGGUGCUUAUGACCAUGUGGCGGAGUUGGCAUGUGCGCAACGAGAUUACACAUGACAAAAUGCCUCCUCCGACUGAAGCCUCCCGACGCUUCCUCCACCGGUAUAUUACUUCGCUCCUGUGUAUUAAUCAACACCCUUCGGGAGACCAUGUGAAAGGGAAGAUGGUGGUCGUUGCUUCACCACCAGCAGCUCGGGUCAUCUCUGGCCCCAAGAUGCAGCCGAGAUGGGUCCCCCCUGACACGGGCUGGACCAAGCUAAACACGGAUGGCAGCUUUAUUACUUCUACGGGUACGGCUGGAGGAGGUAUGAUUCUCCGAGAUGAUAGAGGUGAGAUCAUCUAUAGUGCAUGUAGAGAACUCCGUGCAUGUGAGAGUGCCUUGGAGGCGGAGCUAGCAGCGUGUCGAGAAGGACUGGAGUUGGCCUUGCACCGGACGAACCUUCCAAUUAUAGUUGAGCUAGACAGUGCGGAGGCGGUGACGUUGCUCACAACACGCACGAGAGAUAGAUCGAGGCACCACAUUCUCAUAGAGGAGAUCCGAAGAUUAGCUGAUACCGAUGAUAGAGAGAUUUUAUUUGCUCGCUGUAGCCGCUCACAGAAUAAUAUUAGUCAUGAGUUGGCCGCUUACGGUCGUCGCACCCCUCGUACUGCGGUGUGGCUUUCUGCUGGGUUGGACUCUGUUGUAAACUUGGCUAUGGCUGAGAAGCCUCCUUGAGUUAUGAGAUAUUCUUUUCCCCCAAAAAAAAUUGCAUAAAGUACAUGCAGCAAGUUUUUUUUUGUGUGUGUGUACGAUUUGGGGUACGCCGCCCGGACAGCACACCUAGCGGUUCCGUGCCGCGAACGCCUCCUGGUCGUGCACCGCAGAGGCACCCGAGCCGUCCGUACCAGAAUAUCCGACCGCGAUACCCCGAUCAGACGGCCUGCAGCGAACCAAACACUUUUCUGGACUUUUCUCACGUCCAGAUCAAACAUCUGGGUCGUUCAACCGAAACAUACCCACAGAUCGGACGGCCGAAAAAGGAGCCCACCUAUUCCGGGGCUGCUAUAAAUCCGAGGAGGCCGUCUCCUCCCCACCCCCUCUCGCCGUCCGCCGCUACUCCCCUGCCUCCCCCAGAGCUCGUUAGGGUUUUCUCCUUUUUCGGGGGAGAAAUCUCAAGAGGCGGCACCAUGCUCGUGUACCAGGACAAGCUUUCCGGUUCGUCCCCCCGCCUCUGUAUUUCCCCACGGUUUUCGCGUCUUUUAAGCUUGUUUCGAUGGAAUCGGGCUUCUACUGGCUAGAAGCUAGAUCUGAUCGCUUUCGGACUAGCUAGAUCUGAUCGCUUUCUUGAAUCGGUUGUUUAGUCGUCGGUUGCUGACGCGGAUUGGCUAACUGGUAACCGGGAUUCGCUCGCUAAUCGGUAGAUCUCCGUGCGGUCUGGGGUUAGGACUUGGGUUUUAUCUAUCUGUUCAUGCGUUCCUACGAUGGAUUUCACUGAAUGUGCUGUAUUUGAUGUGUCGCAGGCGACGAGCUUCUGUCGGAUUCGUUCCCGUACAGGGAGCUGGAGAACGGCGUGCUCUGGGAAGUCGACGGCCAUGUAAGCGUUAUAUUCUCAGCUGCUCUGUGUGCGGUGCUUGGUUAGGUUAUCUGGGUAGAUCACGUGCUAGUUGGUUAAUUCGACCUCGUCAAUUUUGUCUCACAAAACACAGAUCUGAAUGAGCACCUUUCAUCUAGGCAUGGGAUAGAUUGAUGACUGUUUUAUUAUCAUAUGAGUUAUCCAGUUACCAGGCUUGUAUCUGCUUUCAUGGCGUGUUAGUCCUUGUUAUUAUAUUGUGCAGCGUUGACACUUCUAAUGUUAAAAUUAAGCAUGUUUGUAUCCUCUAUUGGGGUUAGAGGUUUGGAUUGAUUGGUAUGUUUUUUCUACACAAGCAAAAAAGAUUACUGCUCGUUGGUCCGGUGGAUCUGCUUGUGUAAACAAUUUCAACUUCUAAAAGUUAUUGUGCACACACAUGAUUAUCAACCGUUCAUAUCUAAAGCGCUCACACUGCACAUACACACAUGAUUUAUCAACCGUUCAUAUCUGAAGCUCUCACACUGCACAUUACUUUUCUUUGUGCUAACAUCGUUCAGAUGUUUUAGUUGUUUAUUUGACCUGUAUCGUUUUGAAUGCUUGUAGUGGGUCGUUCAAGGAGCAGUUGAUGUGGACAUUGGAGCCAAUCCCUCUGCUGAGGGUGGUGGUGAUGAUGAGGGUGUCGAUGACCAGGCCGUGAAGGUGGUUGACAUUGUUGACACCUUCCGUCUUCAGGUUGCUUGCUCUUUUUGAUGCUCUUGACCUCUCUACAGUGUAUGCACUUGAUGAUAGUGCUAAGCCCCCAUUACCUUUUGCAGGAGCAACCUGCUUUUGACAAGAAGCAGUUUAUCUCUCACAUGAAGCGCUACAUCAAGAACCUCUCUGCCAAGCUUGAAGGGGAUGACCUAGAUGUUUUCAAGAAGAAUGUUGAGUCUGCCACAAAGUAUCUUCUUAGCAAGCUCAAGGACCUUCAGUUGUAAGUUCUCUCUUUGCCUUGCUCGAAAGUGCAGGCACUGUUUAUCAUUGGUCCGUCCAGACACGUUAGUACUUUAUUCUUACUUUGGUAUUUUAGAUGCUGGUAAUUUAUUCUAUUUAACUUAAAUCAGUGACAGCAUUUUUUUUAUAUUUUGGGGAAGGUAGUAAUAAUCUAUGCAUUCAACUUACGCAAGUUCUAAAACUGGUGUUUCAGCUUUGUUGGCGAGAGCAUGCAUGAUGAUGGCGGCGUGGUGUUCGCCUACUACAAGGAGGGAGCUGCUGAUCCAACUUUCCUGUACUUUGCACAUGGGCUGAAAGAGGUCAAGUGCUAAUCGCACUGUAUGCUAAAAUCUAUGCGGUCGUCAGUAUUUUUGCUCUGCUCUAUGGUUGUCAGUCGACUCUCCAAUGUUGUGUCGGUAACUAUCAGAUGUUGAGUGUCUUGAAAACUUUCUGAUAAUUGUGGGAUUUGCUUUGUAAUGGUAAUCGUGAAAUUGGUGUGGUUAUGUUUUGGUCAAUGCCUCGGCUUUUACUCGCUAGAAUCAAGCGAUUUUGCCCUGUUAUUCUAUCAGAUUAUCUUAUGUCUUUUGUACUUGGUCAUUUUGACGUAACACAGCAUUGCUACGUUGAGCAAAGCAAAAUGAUCAAUCAUCGUUUGAUAAGAAUCAUUCGAAAUCAAGAACAAAAUGAUGAGUUUCACAAUUCAGAAGCACUUCAGAUCUAGUUCGUUUUCCACCUAAUUUUGAUAUUCCACAUGUUCUGCUCUUAUCCAGUUUUCGGUUAAGUUACAACACAGCUUUCUGAAUUUUCAGAACACUGAGUAGAAACGAACAUCUUGGAAUUUUCGAUGGAAAAUGUGGCCAAGAGAAUCGCAUGUUCAGGCGAAGCCGGAGAUCAUCCCCAUUUCCAUUAACGAAACAUCAAAUCAUCACGACACACACCCUCUAGGCUCUAGCAGAUGAAACUCGCUCCCACUCACACUCUGCUUCGGUUUGACGCGCACAGCCGGACUCGAUGCAUCUCAGGCGACCUGGACCUGGAUGGUCUUGGGCUUCUUGGGCUCGGGCGGCGGCAGCUUCUCGACGGUGACGGUGAGCACGCCGUCGCGGCACACGGCGGAGAUCUUCUCCAUGUCGGCGUUCUCUGGCAGCACGUACUUGCGCAUCAGCUUGCCCAUGCGGCGCUCCAUCCGCAGGUACUUGGCGUCCUCCUUCUCCUCCCUCCGCCGCUCGCCGCUGAUCACCAGCACCCUCUCGUCCUCCACCUGCACCUUGAUGUCGCCGGACCCGAGCCCCGGCAUGUCCACCACGAACGCGUACGCGCCCGGCAGCUCCUUCACGUCGGCCGGGGUGGCCGCCAUGGCGCGCGCGUCGCGGACGUAGGCGCGCGUCGGGCCCUGCUUCUCGCCGCCGGCGGCACCGGCUCCACCAGCCUCCCCGUCCGGGAUGUCCAGCAGGUGCUGCAGGGCGGUCAUCAUCGGGUUCUCCAAGCCAAACACCAUGCCCGCCAUUCUCGCUCGCUGAUCUCGAGCUCGGUCGGUCUCUCCUCGGGUUGGGCUUGCGUUGGAUCGCUCGUUGAAUCUUGUGGAAUGCUUUGGUGGCGAUGCGAUGGCGAGGAGGGCGUUUAUGUAGGUCGCCGGGCGCGGUGAGUCCGGAAGGUGAUGGAAACUUCUGAAAGGUGGUCGAACAAGCGCUGUGCGGCAGGGAGUUCUUCGCCCGCUGAUGGAGAAAGUUCUAGAGGUUCCACCUUCGUAAUUGUUUUGUGGUAGCCUUAGGCCCCAGAUGUCAUUCGGGGCAGCAGAGAGACAUUUUUUUCUAGGAUGGGCAUAGAGAGAUUUUUUCUUUUGAAAAAAAAAACGCAUACAGAGUUUUAUUGGGGGGCAAAGGACUUUUAUUCAAAACUAGUAAAUGUUGUGUGUGCACCACAUACAUGUUGAGAACAAUAAUCGUGUGGUUAUAUCUCGGGCGACUUAGACUGAGAUUUAGCAAGUCUUAUAAUAUACUCCCUCGGUUCCUAUUUAUAAGCCAUUUUAGAAAUUCCAACAUGAACGACAUACACAUAGGAAAUAAAAUGUAUGUUUAUAUACAUUGGAUGUAGGUCUAUGGACCCCGAUAAAAACACAUAGUGCCAUUCCAUCUCAUCAUUUGCACCUUCUCUUUCAUCAUGCCAUACAAUGGAACUCUAUUUCUUCAAAAUCCAUAUGAAGACGUGUAUAACAAAGGUCUUCAAGAUAGAAUACACAAAGGCCUUAAAAUUGCCAGAAAAAACUUAGUCAUACAACCAAAGAUGAAAAAAGCGGUAGGCGUAAGCAAGGCGAUUGGCCCUCGCCUAGUGCCUAGGCAGUGCUUAAGCGCCCUAGGCACGGUCUAGGCGGUAAUACAGUUUCUACUAUCAGGUCUAUCUAUGGUUAUUACAUGGGUAUCAAUAUUAAUUUAGGGCAUAUAAAUAAGUUAACUACCCGCUAUUGCCAUAGGAAUAUGGCCCAUUUGACAUACAAUGCAAUAUGGCAUGAUUGCUCGCUUGGGUAGGCAAUUCUUGCUUGCCUGCCUACACUUACACUUAUGUCCUAGGCGAGGCGUUGGCCAUCACCUAUGCGUGUCUAAGCGUCACCUAGGCACUGUCUUUUUCAAGACUACAUACAACACACAUGCAACUCUGGCUCUUCAAAACCGUGCCAAGUCUCUAUGGUUACAAUUGAGCGACUAUUUCAGGCUCUAAAAGAUUUAUCUUUAGUCAGUUUCCCCCCAUCAUCCGAUAUGCAUCCAACGGACCCGUAACCUUCUUCCUCCAGGCCCAAUGCCAUCACACACGAACGCUCACUACAGCCCGAGCUGCAGCCACCGUCGUCGGUCAUCCCUCUAACCCACCUUCACCCGAACCCCACAACCCACCGCAUCCUACAUGUCCUCCGUCGACGAUGCCACGACAAACUGCGUCGUCCCUGCCUUCGUCUAGGUCCUAGCUCUCCAUCUUGGAGACACCGCGACAGGUAGUGUCACCUCCAUCUCGGCCUUAGAACCAUCUCACCUACUUCUCAAUCACAUGUUGACUGGCAUGGCUGAAAAUUUCAGUCAGCUGAUAAAUAACAAACACAUUUAUAAUUACAAGAAAUAACUUCACUUCUAUAGGGGAAGGUACAUACUUGAUUUAUAGAAGCUAUAAAUAUGGAAGGGCCUCAAAAGAAUUUAAUGACACCCUUGUUGUUAUGAUGUUGACUCUUCCAAGGGUUGAUUGUGAACCAACAGUUUUAUAUAGAAAUAGGAGAUUACAAACAAGAACCAAGAAGAAAGAGUAUACUAGGAAGCUAUCACACCAUAACUCUCGAGAUGAAUUUUUGUUUUUGCACAAAUUUUACAACUUCUGUCCUUUUGGGGAGACGUCAAAUUACAAGUGACGUCCCUCAUUACAUCGCUUAGGCCGCAAACAAAACUAUAGAGUUAUACAUUUUAGGCAAAAAGGGAUUAAACCAAAUAAAGCCACUCAUGAAAAAGCCCACGGAAAGAUUUCAUGUCCACUAAGAAAAGAUAAAUGAAUUAAAACAGUUUUCUUAAGGUACACCUUGCUAUUAAUAAGACCACUCUUCUUUCUAUUAGCAGAGAAAAUAAAGGUGACAUGGGGCUUUUCCGCUUUGCCUUUUGUGGGGAGAGAUGAAAACACCCAUCUGUUGGGGAACGUAGCAGAAAUUCAAAAUUUUCUACGCAUCACCAAGAUCAAUCUAUGGAGUAAUCUAGCAACGAGGGGAAGGGGAGUGCAUCUACAUACCCUUGUAGAUCGCGAUGCGGAAGCGUUGCAAGAAUGCGGAUGAGGGAGUCGUACUCGUAGCGAUUCAGAUCGCGGUUGAUUCCGAUCCAAGCACCGAAGAACGGUGCCUCCGCGUUCAACACACGUGCAGCCCGGUGACGUCUCCCAUGCCUUGAUCCAGCAAGGAGAGAGGGAGAGGUUGGGGAAGACUCCAUCCAGCAGCAGCACAACGGCGUGGUGGUGGUGGAGGAGCGUGGCAAUCCCGCAGGGCUUCGCCAAGCACCGCGGGAGAGGAGGAGGAGGGAGAGGGGUUAGGGCUGCACCGAAAGAGAGACGUUCUCGUGUGUCUUGGGCAGCCCAAACCUCAACUAUAUAUAGGGGGGGAGGGGGCUGCGCCCCCCUUAGGGUUUCCACCCCCAAGAGGAGGCGGCCAGCCCUAGAUCCCAUCAAGGGGGGCGGCCAAGGGGAGGAGAGGGGGGGCGCCCCACUAGAUGGGCCCNNNNNNNNNNNNNNNNNNNNNNNNNNNNNNNNNNNNNNNNNNNNNNNNNNNNNNNNNNNNNNNNNNNNNNNNNNNNNNNNNNNNNNNNNNNNNNNNNNNNNNNNNNNNNNNNNNNNNNNNNNNNNNNNNNNNNNNNNNNNNNNNNNNNNNNNNNNNNNNNNNNNNNNNNNNNNNNNNNNNNNNNNNNNNNNNNNNNNNNNNNNNNNNNNNNNNNNNNNNNNNNNNNNNNNNNNNNNNNNNNNNNNNNNNNNNNNNNNNNNNNNNNNNNNNNNNNNNNNNNNNNNNNNNNNNNNNNNNNNNNNNNNNNNNNNNNNNNNNNNNNNNNNNNNNNNNNNNNNNNNNNNNNNNNNNNNNNNNNNNNNNNNNNNNNNNNNNNNNNNNNNNNNNNNNNNNNNNNNNCCCGGGACCCUCCCGGUGGUCCCGGUACAUUACCGAUUUCACCUGAAACUUUUCCGGUGACCAAAACAGGACUUCCCAUAUAUAAAUCUUUACCUCCAGACCAUUCCGGAACUCCUCGUGACAUCCGGGAUCUCAUCCGGGACUCCGAACAACAUUCGGUAACCGCGUACAUACUUUCCCUAUAACCCUAGCGUCAUCGAACCUUAAGCGUGUAGACCCUACGGGUUCGGGAACCAUGCAGACAUGACCGAGACGUUCUCCGGUCAAUAACCAACAGCGGGAUCUGGAUACCCAUGUUGGCUCCCACAUGUUCCACGAUGAUCUCAUCGGAUGAACCACGAUGUCGGGCAAUCAAUCCCGUAUGCAAUUCCCUUUGUCUAUCGGUAUGUUACUUGCCCGAGAUUCGAUCGUCGGUAUCCCGAUACCUUGUUCAAUCUCGUUACCGGCAAGUCUCUUUACUCGUUCCGUAACUCACAUCAUCCCGUGAUAAACUCCUUGGUCACAUUGUGCACAUUAUGAUGAUGUCCUACCGAGUGGGCCCAGAGAUACCUCUCCGUUUACACGGAGUGACAAAUCCCAGUCUCGAUUCGUGCCAACCCAACAGACACUUUCGGAGAUACCCGUAGUGCACCUUUAUAGCCACCCAGUUACGUUGUGACGCUUGGCACACCCAAAGCAUUCCUACGGUAUCCGGGAGUUGCACAAUCUCAUGGUCUAAGGAAAUGAUACUUGACAUUAGAAAAGCUCUGAGCAAACGAACUACACGAUCUUGUGCUAGGCUUAGGAUUGGGUCUUGUCCAUCACGUCAUUCUCCUAAUGAUGUGAUCCCGUUAUCAACGACAUCCAAUGUCCAUGGUCAGGAAACCGUAACCAUCUAUUGAUCAACGAGCUAGUCAACUAGAGGCUUACUAGGGACAUGGUGUUGUCUAUGUAUCCACACAUGUAUGUGAGUUUCCUAUCAAUACAAUUCUAGCAUGGAUAAUAAACGAUUAUCAUGAACAAGGAAAUAUAACAAUAACCUAUCUAUUAUUGCCUCUAGGGCAUAUUUCCAACAGUCUCCCACUUGCACUAGAGUCAAUAAUCUAGUUCACAUCGCCAUGUGAUUAACACUCACAGGUCACAUCACCAUGUGACCAACAUCCAAGAGUUUACUAGAGUCAACAAUCUAGUUCACAUCUCUAUGUGAUUAACACUCAAUGAGUUCUGGUUUGAUCAUGUUAUGCUUGUGAGAGAGGUUAUUAGUCAACGGGUCUGAACCUUUCAGAUCCGUGUGUGCUUUACGAAUAUCUAUGUCAUCUUGUGGAUGCUACCACACGCUAUUUGGAGCCAUUUCAAAUAAUUGCUCUACUAUACGAAUCCGGUUUACUACUCAGAGUCAUCCGGAUUAGUGUCAAAGUUUGCAUCGACGUAACCCUUUACGACGAACUCCCUUUCACCUCCAUAAUCGAGAAAAUUCCUUAGUCCACUAGGUACUAAGGAUAAGUUCGACCGCUGUCAUGAGAUCCUUUCCCGGAUCACUAUUGUACCCUCUUGACCAACUCAUGGCAAGGCACACUACAUGUGCGAUACACAGCAUAGCAUACUAUAGAGCCUACGUCUAAAGCAUAGGGGACGACCUUCGUCCUUUCUCUAUCUUCUGCUGUGGUCAGGUCUUGAGUCUUACUCAAUACUCACACCUUGUAACACAACCAAGAACUCCUUCUUUGCUGAUCUAUUUUGAACUCUUUCAAAAUCAUGUCAAGGUGUGCGUUCUUUGAAAGUAUCAUCGGGCGUCUUGAUCUAUCUCUAUAGAUCUUGAUGCCCAAUAUGUAAGUAGCUUUUAUCCAGGUCUUCCUUUGAAAAACUCCUUUCAAACAACCCUUUAUGCUUUUCAGAAAUUUUACAUCAUUUCGGAUUAACAAUAUGUCAUUCACAUAUACUUAUCAGAAAUGUUGUAGCGCUCCCACUCACUCUAUUGUAAAUACAAGUUUCUAACAAACUUUGUAUAAACCCAAAAACUUUGAUCACUCCAUCAAAGUGUAUAUUCUGACUCCGAGAUGCUUGCUCUAAUCCAUGGAAGGAUCGCUGGAGCUAGCAUACCUUUUAGCAUCCUUAGGAUCGACAAAAACUUUCUGAUUGUAUCACAUACAACCUUUCCUUACGAAAACUGGUAAGGAAACUUGUUUUGACAUCCAUCUGCCAGAUUUCACAAAUGCAGCUAAUGCUAACAUGAUUCCGACGGACUUAAGCAUCGCUACGGAUGAGAAAAUCUCAUCGUAGUCAACUUCUUGAACUUGUGGAAAUACUCUUUGCCACAAGUCGAGCUUCAUAGACGGUAACAUUACCGUCCAUGUCCGUCUUCUUCUUAAAGAUCCAUUUACCUCAACAGCCUUACGACCAUCAAGUAGUCCUCUCAAAGUCUAUACUUUGUUUUCAUACAUGGAUCCUCUCGGAUUUUAUGGCUUCUAACCAUUUGUCGGAAUAUGGGCCCACCAUCGCUUCUCCAUAGCUCGUAGGUUCGGUAUUGUCCAACAACAUGAUAUCUCAGACAGGAUCACGUACCACUCUGAAGUAUUACGCAUCCUUGUCGUCCUACGAGGUUUGGUAGUGACUUGAUCCGAAGUUUCAUGAUCACUAUCAUAAGCUUCCACUUCAAUUGGUGUAGGUGCCACAGGAACAACUUCCUGUGCCCUGCUACACCCUAGUUGAAGUGACGGUUCAAUAACCUUAUCAAGUCUCCACCAUCCUCCCACUCAAUUCUUUCGAGAGAAACUUUUCCUCGAGAAAGGACUCGUUUCUAGAAGCAAUUACUUUUGCUUCCAGAUCUGAAAUAGGAGGUAUACCCAACUGUUUUGGGUAUUCUUAUGAAGAUGCAUUUAUCCGCUUUGGGUUCGAGCUUAUCAGCCUGAAACAUUUUCACAUAAGCAUCGCAGCCCCAAACUUUUAAGAAACGACAACUUAGGUUUCUCUAAACGGUGUCGUCUCAACGGAAUUGCGUGGUGCCCCUUUUAAAGUGAAUGCGGUUGUCUCUAAUGCCUAACCCAUAAACGAUAGUGGUGAUUCGAUAAGAGACAUCAUGGUAUGCACCAUAUCCAAUAGGGUGCAUUUAUGAUGUUCGGACACACCAUCACUUUGUGGUGUUCCAGGCGGUAUUCAUUGUGAAACACUUUCCACAAUGUCUUAAUUGUGUGCCAAACUCGUAACUCAGAUACUCAUCUCUAUGAUCAUAUCACAGACAUUUUAUCCUCUUGUCACGACGAUCUUCAACUUCACUCUGAAAUUACUUGAACCUUUCAAUAAUUCAGACUGGUGUUUCAUCAAGUAAAUACACUCAGCAUCUACUCAAAUCAUCUGUGAAGUAAGAACAUAACUAUAUCCACUGCAUGCCUCGGCACUCAUUGGACUGCAUACAUCAAAAUGUAUUACUUCCAACAAGUUGCUCUCUUGUUCCAUCUUACUGAAAACGAGGCCUUUCAGUCAUCUUGCCCAUGUGGUAUGAUUUGCAUGUCUCAAGUGAUUCAAAAUCAAGUGAGUCCAAACGAUCCAUCUGCAUGGAGUUUCUUCAUGCAUAUAUACCAAUAGACAUGGUUCGCAUGUCUCAAUCUUUUCAAAAACGAGUGAGUCCAAAGAUCCAUCUACAUGGAGCUUCUUCAUGCGUUUUAUCCCAAUAUGACUCAAAUAGCAGUGCCACAAGUAUGUGGUACUAUCAUUACUUUUGGCAUGAACAUGUGUAUCACUACGAUCGAGAUUCAUUUUAGGUGUAAGACCAUUGAAGGUAUUAUUCAAAUAAACAGAGUAACCAUUAUUCUCCUUAAAUGAAUAACCGUAUUGCGAUAAACAUAAUCCAAUCAUGCUCAACGCAAACACCAAAUCUUGAUGGUAGAGGGAGCAUGCGAUGCUUGAUCACAUCAACCUUGGAAACACUUCCAACACAUAUCGUCAUCUCACCUUUAGCUAGUCUCCGUUUAUUCCGCAGCUUUUAUUUCGAGUUACUAACACUUAGCAACCGAACCGGUAUCUAAUGCCUUGGUGCUGCUAGGAGUACUAGUAAAGUACACAUUCAUAUAAUGUAUAUCCAAUAUACUUCUGUCGAUCUUACCUGCCUUCUCAUCUACCAAGUAUCUAGGGUAGUACUGCUUCAGUGACCGUUCCUCUCAUUACAGAAGCACUUAGUCUCGGGUUUGGGUUCAACCUUGGGAUUCUUCACUAGAGCAGCAAACGACUUGCUGUUUUAUGAAGUAUCCCUUUUUCCCUUGCCCUUCUUAAACUAGUGGUUUUACUAACCAUCAACAAUUGAUGCUCCUUCUUGAUUUAUACUUUCGCGGUGUCAAACAUCGCGAGUUGCUCAAGGAUCAUCAUCUAUCCUUGAUAUUUAUAGUUCAUCACAAAGCUCUAAUAGCUUGGUGGCAGUGACUAUUGAGAACCAUCACUAUCUCAUCUGGAAGAUUAACUCCCACUCGAUUCAAGCGAUUGUGGCACUCAGACAAUCUGAGCACAUGCUCAACGAUUGAGCUUUUCUCCCUUAGUCUACAGGCUUAAGAAACUUGUCAGAGGUCUCAUACCUCUUGACGUGGGCACUAAUCCGAAAUCCCAAUUUCAGUUUUCGGAACAUCUCAUAUGUUCUGCGACGUUUCAAAAACGUCUCUUGUGCCACAAUUCUAAACCGUUAGCAUUACUCACUGAACUAUCACGUAGUCAUCAAAACGUGUAUGUCAGAUGUUUCGCAACAUCUACAGACGACGCUGAGGUUCAGCACACCGAGCGGUGCAUUAAGGACAUAAGCCUUCUGUGCAGCAAUGAGGACAAUCCUCAGUUUACGGACCCAGUCCGCAUAAUUGCUACUAUCAACUUUCAACUAAAUUUUUCUCUAGGAACAUAUCUUAAACAGUAGAACUAAAGCGCAAUGACAUAAUUUGUAAAGACCUUUUGACUAUGUUCAUGAUAAUGAAGUUCAUCUGAUUAUUGAACUCCCACUCAGAUAGACAUCCCUCUAGUCAUCUAAGUGAUACAUGAUCCGAGUCAAACUAGGCCGUGUCCGAUCAUCACGUGAGACGGACUAGUCAUCAUCGGUGAACAUCUCCAUGUUGAUCGUAUCUGCUAUACGACUCAUGUUCGACCUUUCGGUCUCUUGUGUUCCGAGGCCAUGUCUGUACAUGCUAGGCUCGUGAAGUCAACCUAAGUGUUUCGCAUGUGUUCCGAGGCCAUGUCUGUACAUGCUAGGCUCGUCAACACCCGUUGUAUUCGAACGUUAGAAUCUAUCACACCCGAUCAUCACGUGGUGCUUCGAAAUAACGAACCUUCGCAACGGUGCACAGUUAGGGGGAACACUUCUCUUGAAAUUUUAGUGAGGGAUCAUCUUAGUUACUACCGUCGUUCUAAGCAAAUAAGAUGCAUAACAUGAUAAACAUCACAUGCAAUCAAAUAGUGACAUGAUAUGGCCAAUAUCAUUUUGCUCCUUUGAUCUCCAUCUUCGGGGCACCAUGAUCAUCUUUGUCGCCGGCAUGACACCAUGAUCUCCAUCAUCAUGAUCUCCAUCAUUGUGUCUUCAUGAAGUUGUCACGCCAACGAUUACUUCUACUUCUAUGGCUAACGCGCUUAGCAAUAAAGUAAAGUAAUUUACAUGGCGUUAUUCAAUGACACGCAGGUCAUACAAAAAAUAAAGACAACUCCUAUGGCUCCUGCCGGUUGUCAUACUCAUCGACAUGCAAGUCGUGAUUCCUAUUACAAGAAUAUGAUCAAUCUCAUACAUCACAUAUAUCAUUCAUCACAUCUUCUGGCCAUAUCACAUCACAUAGCACAUGCUGCAAAAACAAGUUAGACGUCCUCUAAUUGUUGUUGCAGUUUUUACGUGGCUUGUAUAGGUUUCUAGCAAGAACGUUUCUUACCUACGUAAGACCACAACGUGAUAUGCCAAUUUCUAUUUACCCUUCAUAAGGACCCUUUUCAUCGAAUCCGUUCCGACUAAAGUGGGAGAGACAGACACCCGCUAGCCACCUUAUGCAACUAGUGCAUGUCAGUCGGUGGAACCUGUCUCACGUAAGCGUACGUGUAAGGUCGGUCCGGGCCGCUUCAUCCCACAAUGCCGCCGAAACAAGAUAAGACUAGUAGCGGCAAGAAGAAUUGACAAAAUCGACGCCCACAACUACUUUGUGUUCUACUCGUGCAUAGAAACUACGCAUAGACCUAGCUCAUGAUGCCACUGUUGGGGAACGUAGCAGAAAUUCAAAAUUUUCUACGCAUCACCAAGAUCAAUCUAUGGAGUAAUCUAGCAACGAGGGGAAGGGGAGUGCAUCUACAUACCCUUGUAGAUCGCGAUGCGGAAGCGUUGCAAGAACGCGGAUGAGGGAGUCGUACUCGUAGCGAUUCAGAUCGCGGUUGAUUCCGAUCCAAGCACCGAAGAACGGUGCCUCCGCGUUCAACACACGUGCAGCCCGGUGACGUCUCCCAUGCCUUGAUUCAGCAAGGAGAGAGGGAGAGGUUGGGGAAGACUCCAUCCAGCAGCAGCACGACGGCGUGGUGGUGGUGGAGGAGCGUGGCAAUCCCGCAGGGCUUCGCCAAGCACCGCGGGAGAGGAGGAGGAGGGAGAGGGGUAGGGCUGCACCGAAAGAGAGACGUUCUCGUGUGUCUUGGGCAGCCCAAACCUCAACUAUAUAUAGGGGGGGAGGGGGCUGCGCCCCCCUUAGGGUUUCCACCCCCAAGAGGAGGCGGCCAGCCCUAGAUCCCAUCAAGGGGGCGGCCAAGGGGAGGAGAGGGGGGGCGCCCCACUAGAUGGGCCCUAAGGCCCAUCUGGACCUAGGGUUUGCCCCCUCCCACUCUCCCAUGCGCCUUGGGCCUUGGUGGGGGGUGGCACCAGCCCACCUGGGGCUGGUCCCCUCCCACACUUGGACCACGCAGCCUUCUGGGGAUGGUGGCCCCACUUGGUGGACCCCCGGGACCCUCCCGGUGGUCCCGGUACAUUACCGAUUUCACCCGAAACUUUUCCGGUGACCAAAACAGGACUUCCCAUAUAUAAAUCUUUACCUCCGGACCAUUCUGGAACUCCUCGUGACGUCCGGGAUCUCAUCCGGGACUCCGAACAACAUUCGGUAACCACGUACAUACUUUCCCUAUAACCCUAGCGUCAUCGAACCUUAAGCGUGUAGACCCUACGGGUUCGGGAACCAUGCAGACAUGACCGAGACGUUCUCCGGUCAAUAACCAACAGCGGGAUCUGGAUACCCAUGUUGGCUCCCACAUGUUCCACGAUGAUCUCAUCGGAUGAACCACGAUGUCGGGGAUUCAAUCAAUCCCGUAUGCAAUUCCCUUUGUCUAUCGGUAUGUUACUUGCCCGAGAUUCGAUCGUCGGUAUCCCGAUACCUUGUUAAAUCUCGUUACCGGCAAGUCUCUUUACUCAUUCCGUAACUCACAUCAUCCCGUGAUCAACUCCUUGGUCACAUUGUGCACAUUAUGAUGAUGUCCUACCGAGUGGGCCCAGAGAUACCUCUCCGUUUACACGGAGUGACAAAUCCCAGUCUCGAUUCGUGCCAACCCAACAGACACUUUCGGAGAUACCCGUAGUGCACCUUUAUAGCCACCCAGUUACGUUGUGACGUUUGGCACACCCAAAGCAUUCCUACGGUAUCCGGGAGUUGCACAAUCUCAUGGUCUAAGGAAAUGAUACUUGACAUUAGAAAAGCUCUGAGCAAACGAACUACACGAUCUUGUGCUAGGCUUAGGAUUGGGUCUUGUCCAUCACAUCAUUCUCCUAAUGAUGUGAUCCCGUUAUCAACGACAUCCAAUGUCCAUGGUCAGGAAACCGUAACCAUCUAUUGAUCAACGAGCUAGUCAACUAGAGGCUUACUAGGGACAUGGUGUUGUCUAUGUAUCCACACAUGUAUGUGAGUUUCCUAUCAAUACAAUUCUAGCAUGGAUAAUAAACGAUUAUCAUGAACAAGGAAAUAUAACAAUAACCUAUUUAUUAUUGCCUCUAGGGCAUAUUUCCAACACCAUCAGUUACCAUCAUCUUUGACUACCCUAGCAAAAGCUAGCUCACACGCGCAUAAACUCCUUAGUUCUGAAAAUGCGUUUUCAAUGCGGAGAACUACCUUUUGGCUUUCGGGUGUAGGGGCAACCUAUAUGAAAAAAAUAGUAAUUCCGAAAAUGGUCAAAAAAUUCUGAAACUCUUUUGGAAACAAACUUGACCUUCAAUUGUACUCUCGUCGCCUUUAGUGCAAAAAAAAGAAAAUUCAAGGACAAAAACAUGAAUGUUAACAUGUAUAAAGAGCUGAUUUUUUUCACCUAGAAUAGCAUGAAAGUCGUUCAUUGGCAAAAAGUUUCAUAAUUUUGUAACUUUUCUCAGAAUUACUAUUUUCUUCCCAUAUAGGGUGCACCUACACCCAGAGCCAAAGGUGUUUGUCCCGGCUCUGGGGUGCAAGUGCACCUGAUAUGAUUCUUUUUAGUGAUUCCAAAUAGAGUCAAAAAAUGAAACAUUUUAGUAAACAAAGUUGACCUUCGGUUGUAUGACGGGCUCCCUGGGGGCCUUAAUUUGAAAACUUUGAAAUUCAAGCUUUUCAAUUUUAAAAAAUUCUGGAAAAAAUACACAUAUACAUAGGUCAAAAUACAUGAAAACGAGGGCUACAAAAAGGAAAAUUUGUGCAUCUUUUAGCAUAUAUAUGUACUAUUGAUCCUCAAAGUCCAUAAUGUUCUUGUGCAGCUCGAGUUUUAAGGUAUUUCAUCCUAUUACAUCCGAGGGUGUCCGGGAUUAAGGGGUCAUCGGGCUGCCGGCCUAACUCUCAUAGGCCGGACAGGUGGGCCGCUCUGUAACUACUAUCGGAAGGCCAAGCUAUAAGGCGACUACGUAUCCGGACAUGAAACCUUCGAAGCCCUGAUGUGUCCUUCAGGUCAAGAUAGGAGAAUCGACAUAACUGCCGAGACGAAGGAAUCUUGAAUGCCCUCGCCCGUCGCCAUGUUCAAAACUUCGCCAGGAGGCGGCAGCCUCGGAGGCGCAGCUGCAGGCGAUCGCAGAGAAGAAUAAUGCCAGUUGCGCCUCCUACGCGCCGCGGACGAACCAUGAGCCGGCCCGGUGGGAUGACGACAACGUCGGCGCCACCAUUUCCCUUUUGGACCUCAUGCCAAUCUGCGACGGACAAGGCGCAGACUCCUUCGAGGAUGAGUGGGCCACGGGAGGCGGUGGAGCCUAGUGUCCCGUGUAGGCCAGUUCGUCUCCCGUGUUCUACUCUUUCUCGUCGAAGAUUGCACCUUCACUUCUCGGUCUUAUCGCUGGUGUUCAUAGAGAUGGUGGAUGGAGAACGACACGAACUUGGAUGCCGGGCACCGCCGCCGUAGGAUAGGUUUAGGAGCAGGUCUUGUUUUUGUUCUAGAUGUUCGAAAUGUAAUAAAAUCCACCGUGUUCGUAUGAAAUCCGUCAUAUUUGUAUGAAAUCUGACCGUGCACAUGAAUUUUAUCCAGUUUAUUGAAAAAAAGUUUAGAAUAUACCCGGCUAGCAUUGGAUGCGGAGGAAAUUUACGGCCCUAAAAUUAUCAUAGCUCGGGAAAAAUCUCUCUGCCUUGCCGGUUGCCACGACAUGUCAUGCCUGGCCCCCAACUGACAUGUGGGGCCAAAAGCUACCGCUCACUUUCCCCAUCAGCGGCGGUAGUACCCUCCCUGCCGCACACCGCUAGUUCCACCACAUUUCAGAAGUUUCUAUCACCUUCCAGACUCCCCGCCUCCGGCCACCUAUAUAAACUCCUUCCUCCACCCGUCGCAUCACACCCAAAGCAUUCCACAAAAUCAACAAGCACUUCAACGCCGAGGAGAUCGAUCAGCGAUCGAGAAUGGAGGGCAGGAUGUUCGGGCUGGAGACCCCGCUGAUGACGGCGCUGCAGCACCUGCUGGACGUCCCGGACAGCGAGUCCGGCGGAGCCGGCAACGCCGGCGGCGAGAGGCAGGGCCCGACGCGUGCCUACGUCCGGGACGCGCGUGCCAUGGCUGCCACCCCGGCCGACGUGAAGGAGCUGCCGGGCGCGUACGCGUUCGUGGUGGACAUGCCGGGUCUGGGGUCCGGCGACAUCAAGGUGCAGGUGGAGGACGAGCGGGCGCUGGUGAUCAGCGGCGAGCGGCGCAGGGAGGAGAAGGAGGACGCCAGGUACCUGCGGAUGGAGCGCCGCAUGGGCAAGCUGAUGCGCAAGUUCGUGCUGCCAGAGAACGCCGACAUGGAGAAGAUCUCCGCCGUUUGCCGCGACGGCGUGCUCACCGUCACCGUCGAGAAGCUGCCGCCGCCCGAGCCCAAGAAGCCCAAGACCAUCCAGGUCCAGGUCGCCUGAGAAUGAGAUGCAUCGUGUGCGCGUCGAAUCGAAGCAGAGUGGGUACUGAGUUUCCUGUGAUGAUGAGUGAUGGUUUCUCUGUCUUUUGAUCUCAUCUGCUAGAGUGUGUGUGUCGUAUCGAUUCGUGCGCACUGGUGAUGGUUUGAUGUUUCGUUAAUGCAAAUGGGGGUGAUCUCCGGCUUCGCCUGAAUAAAACAUGCGAAUCUUUUGGCCACAUUUUCUAUUGAAAAAUCCAAGAUGUUCGUUUUACUUCUAAGAGGGCCGUGUUCUGAAAAUUCAGGAAGACUGCGUUUGUAACUACGGAAAAUUGAGACUAGAACAUGAGGAAUAGCAAAAUUAGAGGCCUGUUCAGACUCCCUCCUGCUCUCCAACUCUGCUCCGGAGCGGAGCAACAUACAGUGUUAAUUUAAGGAGCUGCUAAUACGGUGCUCCACCCGCUCCGCUCCCGAGUGGCGGAGUGGAGGGCUACCGAACACAGCCUAGGUGGAAAACGAAGUGCUUUUUUCACCAGCGAGAAAAAUCCUGGAUGUCUUGGCAUUCUCAUCUCGACAAAUGUCUGGCCUUGGGGAAGAUAGAAAAAGGGAAGUCCAGUUAGAGCUGAGAACUCAGAAAUGUUAUUCUGCUUUGCCUGAAUGAAACAUGUGAGAAUCUCUUGGCUACUUUUUGUUACAGUAUAUUACUCUUUUUGUUACUGUAUAUUACUCUUGGCUACAUUUUGUAUCAAAUACAUUUUGUGUAAUCUAUAAGAUUAGAAAAUACUCAAAACAACUAUUGAGAACUCUUUAUAUCGACAGAACUUGGAAAUGCCAUGGUACUACUCAAGGAUGCCCCGUCCCCGCGUCCCUCCCCGAGGCGACACGGGGGAAGCCUAGCCGCCCCCGCCGCCGGCCUUCCUCCAACCUCCCCUCCCCCUUGCCGCCGCCGAGAGCCACCAUUGGGCAAAGCCCAGGCAGUGGCGGCGGCGGCGGGGCUUCUCCCCUGGCGCGGCUUUCCUUCUUUCUCGCGGGGACUUAGUCACUCCCGGUCAGCUUGAUGGCGCGGCGCUUCGAAGCUCCGGCGGUGACUCGCUUUGCGACAGGUUGGAGGGCCUAUCCCCGUCUGGUGGUGUCGCCUAGACAGCGCUGCGGCCUAGGGCUCUUUACCCCAGAUUGGAUCUGGGUGGUGCUCGGGCCUGGCCGUGGUGUCACCGCCGGAGCCACCACGGCCUAUGCGGCCUAGGGCUCUUUACCCCAGAUUGGAUCUGGGUGGUGCUCGGGCCUGNNNNNNNNNNNNNNNNNNNNNNNNNNNNNNNNNNNNNNNNNNNNNNNNNNNNNNNNNNNNNNNNNNNNNNNNNNNNNNNNNNNNNNNNNNNNNNNNNNNNNNNNNNNNNNNNNNNNNNNNNNNNNNNNNNNNNNNNNNNNNNNNNNNNNNNNNNNNNNNNNNNNNNNNNNNNNNNNNNNNNNNNNNNNNNNNNNNNNNNNNNNNNNNNNNNNNNNNNNNNNNNNNNNNNNNNNNNNNNNNNNNNNNNNNNNNNNNNNNNNNNNNNNNNNNNNNNNNNNNNNNNNNNNNNNNNNNNNNNNNNNNNNNNNNNNNNNNNNNNNNNNNNNNNNNNNNNNNNNNNNNNNNNNNNNNNNNNNNNNNNNNNNNNNNNNNNNNNNNNNNNNNNNNNNNNNNNNNNNNNNNNNNNNNNNNNNNNNNNNNNNNNNNNNNNNNNNNNNNNNNNNNNNNNNNNNNNNNNNNNNNNNNNNNNNNNNNNNNNNNNNNNNNNNNNNNNNNNNNNNNNNNNNNNNNNNNNNNNNNNNNNNNNNNNNNNNNNNNNNNNNNNNNNNNNNNNNNNNNNNNNNNNNNNNNNNNNNNNNNNNNNNNNNNNNNNNNNNNNNNNNNNNNNNNNNNNNNNNNNNNNNNNNNNNNNNNNNNNNNNNNNNNNNNNNNNNNNNNNNNAGGCCCGAGCACCACCCAGAUCCAAUCUGGGGUAAAGAGCCCUAGGCCGUGGUGGCGGCGAGUCUCGCGGCCUGCAGCGCUGUCUAGGCGACACCACCAGACGGGGAUAGGCCCUCCAACCUGUCGCAAAGCGAGUCACCGCCGGAGCUUCGAAGCGCCGCGCCAUCAAGCUGACCGGGAGUGACUAAGUCCCCGCGAGAAAGAAGGAAAGCCGCGCCAGGGGAGAAGCCCCGCUGCCGCCGGCACUGCCUGGGCAAACCGGCACUGCCUGGGCUUUGCCCAAUGGUGGCUCUCGGCGGCGGCAAGGGGGAGGGGAGGUUGGAGGAAGGCCGGCGGCGGGGGCGGCUAGGCUUCCCCCGUGUCGCCUCGGAGAGGGACGCGGGGACGGGGCAUCCUUGAGUAGUACCAUGGCAUUUCCAAGUUCUGUCGAUAUAAAGAGUUCUCAAUAGUUGUCUUGAGUAUUUUCUAACCUUAUAGAUUACACAAAAUGUAUUCGAUACAAAAUGUAGCCAAGAGUAAUAUACAGUAACAAAAAGAGUAAUAUACUGUAACAAAAAGUAGCCAAGAGAUUCUCACAUGUUUCAUUCAGGCAAAGCAGAAUAACAUUUCUGAGUUCUCAGCUCUAACUGGACUUUCCUUUUUCUAUCUUCCCAAAGGCCAGACAUUUGUCGAGAUGAGAAUGCCAAGACAUCCAGGAUUUUUCUCGCUGGUGAANNNNNNNNNNNNNNNNNNNNNNNNNNNNNNNNNNNNNNNNNNNNNNNNNNNNNNNNNNNNNNNNNNNNNNNNNNNNNNNNNNNNNNNNNNNNNNNNNNNNNNNNNNNNNNNNNNNNNNNNNNNNNNNNNNNNNNNNNNNNNNNNNNNNNNNNNNNNNNNNNNNNNNNNNNNNNNNNNNNNNNNNCAAUAUUACAAAAGUCUAGUUCCGUAGAAAAGUAUCUUCUUUAUUUUUUGACAGACUAUAUAUAAUAUGGCCUACAAGUGCGAACCAUAUACAAUACAAUGCACAUAUAUAAUAGUUUUUAAAAAAUACAUGUACCAUAUAAUUUAUCAAUACAUAUGGUCAUUUAUGGGUUACAUAUAAGAGACAAAUAUGUGUGAAUCUUCUACUGCUAUCAUGGGUCCAUAAAUUUUAUAAGAAAUACAUUCUAGUCAUUUAUGGGCUACAUAAAAAAGACAAAUAUGUGUAUCAAAAGUGAAUCCGGCACUUGCUACUAUGGGUCGAUCAAUUUUUUUGGGUGUGCAACUCGCACAUUAAUGUGUUUUUAGUAAAAGAAAACUGAAAAUAUGUAGAACAAAUCAAUGUGUAUAAGUUGGGAAAAAACAUCAGGCUCCUUGGAGCAUGGGAUCCAAAACACCACACUCUUCUGAAGUCUCUUGGCUACUUUUGAGAUGCCAGCGGCGGCGAGUGCUCAGCCUGGUGGUGGCGGCGGCCGUGCACGGAAAUUGGAUUCCUUCGAACAGAUCUGGGUUAAAACUUGCUUUCGGCUACUGCCAAGGCCGGUGAUGGCGGCGCUAUCUGCAUUGUUCCCUUCUUGAAGGCAUCGCCGUGGAGAAGUUCAAGGCCACUCUCUGCUACCUCCUGAGCAAACCCUAGAUCGGAUGAUCGGAUGAUGGCGGUGCUCUGGUGUCGUUUCCCCCUUGGGGGCAUCAUUCUUGGAGGUACGCACGUGAUCGAGGGACCUGAUGACGGAUUCUUUGGUGGAGCGGUGCGUCAUCUUACUCAUUGUUGGCGGCAGAUAUCGGCGGCAUGGCGCUGUGGUGACUCGGUGAUACGUCUCCAACGUAUCUAUAAUUUAUGAAGUAUUCAUGCUAUUAUAUUACCCAUCUUGGAUGUUUAUGGGCUUUAUUAAACACUUUUAUAUCACUUUUGGGACUAACCUAUUGACCCAGAGCCCAGUGCCAGUUCCUAUUUUUUUCCUUGUUUCAGUGUUGCGAAGAAAAGGAAUAUCAAACGGGGUCGAAACGGAAUGAAACCUUCUGAAGAAGUAAUUUUUGAAAAGAAAGCAACCCGGGAGACUUGGAGUCCACGUCAAGAAAGCAACGAGGAAGGCACGAGGCAGGGGGCGCGCCCACCCCCUGGGCGCGCCCUCCACCCUCGUGGGCCCCUUGUGGCUCCCCUGACGUACUUCUUCCUCCUAUAUAUACCCAUAUACCCUAAAACCUUCGGGGAGCAGAAUACAUCUGGAGUUCCGCCGCUGUAAGCCUCCGUAGCCACCAAAAACCAAUCGGGACCCUGUUCCGGCACCCUGCCGGAGGGGGGAACCCUCACCGGUGGCCAUCUUCAUCAUCCCGGCGCUCUCCACGACGAGGAGGGAGUAGUUCACCCUCGGGGCUGAGGGUAUGUACAAGUAGCUAUGUGUUUGAUCUCUCUCUCUCUCUCUCUCAUGUUCUUGAGGUGAUUUGAUCUUGAUGUAUCGCGAGCUUUGCUAUUAUAGUUGGAUCUUAUGUUGCUUCUCCCCCUCUACUCUCUUGUAAUGGAUUGAGUUUUCCCUUUGAAGUAAUCUUAUCGGAUUGAGUCUUUAAUGAUUUGAGAGCACUUGAUAUAUGUCUUGCCGUGCUUAUCUGUUGUGACAAUGGGAUAUCAUGUGAUUCACUUGAUGUAUGUUUUGAUGGUCAACUUGCGGGUUCCGCCCAUGAACCUAUGCAUAGGGGUUGGCACACGUUUUCGUCUUGACUCUCCGGUAGAAACUUUGGGGCACUCUUUGAGGUUCUGUGUGUUGGUUGAAUAGAUGAAUCUGAAAUUGUGUGAUGCAUAUCGUAUAAUCAUACCCAUGGAUACUUGAGGUGACAUUGGAGUAUCUAGGUGACAUUAGGGUUUUGGUUGAUGUGUGUCUUAAGGUGUUAUUUUACUACGAACUCUAGGGCUGUUUGUGACACUUAUAAGAAUAGCCCAACGGAUUGAUUGGAAAGAAUAACUUUGAGGUGGUUUCGUACCCUACCAUAAUCUCUUCAUUUGUUCUCCGCUAUUAGUGACUUUGGAGUGACUCUUUGUUGCAUGUUGAGGGAUAGUUAUAUGAUCCAACUAUGUUAUUAUUGUUGAGAGAACUUGCACUAGUGAAAGUAUGAACCCUAGGCCUUGUUUCCUAGAAUUGCAAUACCGUUUGUGCUCACUUUUAUCAUUAGUUACCUUGCUGUUUUUAUAUUUUUAGAUUACAAAUACCUAUAUCUAUCAUCCGUAUUGCACUUGUAUCACCAUCUCUUCGCCGAACUAGUGCACCUAUACAAUUUACCAUUGUAUUGGGUGUGUUGGGGACACAAGAGACUCUUUGUUAUUUGGUUGCAGGGUUGCUUGAGAGAGACCAUCUUCAUCCUACGCCUCCCACGGAUUGAUAAACCUUAGGUCAUCCACUUGAGGGAAUUUGCUACUGUCCUACAAACCUCUGCACUUGGAGGCCCAACAACGUCUACAAGAAGAAGGUUGCGUAGUAGACAUCAAGCAGUUUCUGGCGCCAUUGCCGGGGAGGUUAGUGCUUGAAGGUAUAUCUUUAGAUCUUGUAAUCGAAUCUUUUUGUUUCUUGUUUUAGCACUAGUUUAGUUUAUAAAAGAAAACUAAAAAAAUGGAAUUGAGUUUACCUCAUACGCUUCAUCUUUUUAAUAUCUUUCGUGAGUAUGAUGGGAAGGAAAAUUGUGCCAAAGUGUUAGAAAAAGAAAUCUAUAAAAUGUUUGCCACUAAAUCUUUGAAUGAUGAGCAUGAUUGCAAUGUUGUUAGUAUGAACUCCUUGAAUAUCCAUAGUACUAAUGAUGAUUGCACUAGUUAUGAUGAAAAUGUCUCCUAUAAACAUGUCAAUUUUUGUGAAGUGCAUUGGGUUUGCAAGUACACACCAAAUAGAGAAGAUAAAUAUUGCAAGAGGCAUAAGUAUUUAGAAACUAAAUUGUUGCAAGAAAGGCUAGAUGUUUGUGCUGAAAAUUUAAAUUUUCUUGGCCAUACUUGUGAACUUUGCCAUGAACGAGGUCAUUUACCUAUCCGAUGCAAAUUUUUUCAUGAUCUAAUCUCGUACAAAAAUUGUGAUGACUUGAUUUCCCUUGCAUAUUAUAAUGAACUUAGUUUGCUUAUGGGUUAUGAAGAAAUGAAACGUAUAACUAACUGUAACAUCCCAAAUUUUCAAUUUGGUAUGUUAUACAUAGAUCAUCAUUGCAUAUCAUGUUUUAUUGCAUUUUGACAAAUCCUCGAUAAAUCCUAAGCAACUCAAGGACCCUCGGAGAGAGUUGGGGAUUUUCUCAAAAUUUUCAUAUUUGAUUUUCAUCAAAUAAUAAGACGAGGAUUGUGGUUUUAAUUAUUUUCUCUCCGGAAAAAUAUUUCAUUUUAAAAUAAACGAGAGGAGAAAAUAUGACUUCUCCAAAACAAUUGAAAUACUGGAGGAAAAGUGUUAAAAUCAUUAUUUGGCAUUUAUUGGAUUUUAUUUGCAAUUUUUAUUGCAUUAAAAAUAUUGCAUGUUUUCAAAAUAUUUAUUUUGAUUUAAAACAAUGUUCACCCUAUUCUAGAUUUUCUAACUAGACGGGGAAAAUUUAUUUCAUAUUUUUCCGAUUUUUAUUUAUUUUUCUACAUAUUAUUUUCCGCGGAACUUAUUUAAAAAAAACGCCCGCGCGCCGACUGGGCCAAAGGCCCAGCCGAAGGCCCGCCUCGCGCCUCUCCUCUUCCCGCACGACGCCGAGCCGCCGCCGGAGUCCGCCCCGGCCACGCCGCCCCGGCCGCCCCCUUCCCCAAGCUUCGGACCCCCCUCCUUAAAUAGCCCCCCUCUCUCUCUCCCUCAACCCGAGCCGCCGCACUNNNNNNNNNNNNNNNNNNNNNNNNNNNNNNNNNNNNNNNNNNNNNNNNNNNNNNNNNNNNNNNNNNNNNNNNNNNNNNNNNNNNNNNNNNNNNNNNNNNNNNNNNNNNNNNNNNNNNNNNNNNNNNAAACAAAAAAAAACCCUAGAUCGGUUUUUUUUGGUUUUAUUAUUUUGCGAGCGUUUACCGAACCGUCCGUUUUAACGAACGCGUUCGUCGGUUUUUCUCUGAUAACGAACGUCCGUUAUUUAACCGUUCGACCGUUUUUCUUUUUCGUCGGAUUUUUCUCGUUAUUUUCUCAGAUUCGAUUUCUGAUCAAAUCUUCGAUUCUGUUUAACUUCUCGCUCGUUUAUCGGAAUCAGGCGAUUCAAGCGCCUAGAGUUUCGUCUCGGAAUUCUCUUUCCGUUUAAUCUACUCAAACAAGUUUUUGCUACAGUAAAAUUUGACCUAGAUCCAGAUUAGCAAACGAAGUUUUUUUCUUUCGCCGUUUGACUUUCGUUGCUUCUUUCGAGUUGAUUCUUUUUGCAAACCGGAGUUCUUAAGUUGAACUUUCUGAUUGGAUCAUUCAUUCGAGUUUUACCUGUGCAUUAGAUGAGUACUGAUUGUAUGCUUGUUUGUUUGCGAUAGAGUACCCGGAGUGUGCCGCUUGUUACUUCGAAUCGCUAGGUUUUGCGGAUCAUCAGCAAGGCAAGUAACACUUUGAUCAUACCCCGUUCAUACCCAGUUUUUAUUGCAUUAGAUCUGUUCUCCUCAAACACAUUGCAUGAGUAGGAUCCAAUUAAAUUGUGGGUACUGGGAAGUAGUUGAGGUAGUACCUAUUACCUGUUUUCUUAUCAAACCCUUGGGAGUUACUUCUACGUUGCUAUUAUAUUGCCAUGCUAUGCUCGUAGACGUGGAUUUGGGUUUGAGUGAUAUUCAUGACAGAUGUCAGAUGUUUAUUAAUGGUUCAACUUAAGGUGGCAACUAAAACCCACAUCUGGGUGGAUUGAGGCACCUGGAGAACCCAGUGUUGCCUGUUUUUAUAAGGUCCGCCACUCAGGCUCAAAGGGAUCAUAAGAUUAUUCAUGCUAGAAACUUCCGUGUGCAGCCACAAGCUAUUAUGGGCUGUAGCAUAGCUGAGUAGGUUACAGGAUCUCUUGAAGAGGUGGACUAGCAGAUGUAGGGGAAAGUAGGUGUACCGGUCCAUCCAGAGUAAAGAGUGAUUGUUUCUGAAAGACUGUGUCUCGGUCAUCCGUUUCUCAAGCAUCAUGCAGUGCGAGAAUCAAGCGGAGGCGAUCGAGUCUUGUGGGGAAAAGUGCGCAAACCUGUGCAGAGUGUACAAACUAAUCAUGGUUAGCCGUGUCCCCGGUUAUGGACAACUUGAGUAUCUAGUACUGGAUUAUCAUUUGAAUCUCAUCACCGUGAUACUUAUAAUUAAUUUUGUUGGGUUAAUGAUGACACUUAAUUGGGAUUGAGUUGGAGGUACCUUCUCAAUGUUUCAACCACCAUGAUAGUUAAAUAAAAUUUAUUCCUUUGCAGUAGGAUAAAAUUGGCUUUUCGCAAAAACUGUAACCAUAGAGCUUUCCACCAGCCAUAUAUGCAUAUAGUAUAGCAUUAUUAUUGUUCAUUGCUCUCUAUGUGUUACUUUGCCAGCAUAUUCUAUGUGCUGACCCAUUUUCGGGCUGCAACGUUUCAUGUUGCAGACUUUUCAGACGACGAGUAAGGUGCCUUAGGUCGUGGUCUUAUACUCAGUGAUGCCGCUGGAGUGAUGGACUCACUUAUCUUCCAAGUCUUCCGCUGUUAUCGUUUUAGAUGGCCUUAAGCCAUGUUUUUCAUACUUUAACUCUUCGGAGUUAUUCGUGUAAUAAGUGUGUGAUUGCUACUCUGUUAUAAAUCCUCCAUUUGUACUGUGCGUGUCAGCAUUACUGAUCCAGGGAUGACACUGGUGCACAGCAGCACAGGCCAUUUGAGGUCUGGUCGCUACAAAGUUGGUAUCAGAGCACACGCUGACUAUAGGACACGACCACUAAGCUUAAGCCCUAGAAAACUUCUCUCUUCUCAUUUCUGACCCCUCUCCACUUUCUAUUCUUUUAGGAAUGGCGAAUGCCAGGAGCAAGUUCAUGCAACCAGAUGAAGACACGCCGUUUGGUCGACACUUGAAGGAAGUCACCAAGUACUUGAACAUAGGAAUACCAAGCAUCACCGGAACCUACAACGCCACAUUACCUGAAGAGGAGAGCUGGAAGAUUCAAGUUAUCAUUCCAGGAUGGACGUUUGUGCCAAUUACGGAACCCAUGAGAUUGGUUUUCGAAGCACCAACUUGGAGUUUAGGGAAGAGCAUGGCCGCACACAUCGCCAUGGGACGCAUUGGAGAAGUCUACCACCAGGAGCUUAAGGAUACAAUUUACCAAAUUUGUGGACGUCGAGACGCGCAAUGGGAGAUGAUCAAGACCAAGAAGGAUGGAUCAAUUGCAGCUUUCAUCCAGGAGCAGAACCAACAUAUUCGUCGCCAGGAGAACCAGAUGUGCACGGACAAGGAAGAACUGAAGAAGGCAUUAACGAAGAUCAAGGAACUCCAAGAAGAACUCAAGGCUACACGCGAAGAUUACUUGGAGGAAAUCAACGCACUAGUAGGGAAGAUUGACGACCUGGAGAAUAAGAUUGGAGCAUUCGUGGGAAAUUCAGUGCCAAAAGCAAAAGUCGACGAAUGCACUUGUCCGGAUAACUACAUCAUCAUCGACGACACCGACUCGGAACCAAGUGAAGACGAAUGGAUUGAUGAAGCUGGAGCAGACAUCAUGGAGUCUUCAACGGAUCAGAAUUUCUAGUAGACCACCAUAUCAGUAGUAGUUUUCCCCCAUUUAAUAGUAUAGUUCAAGCACUUUGUAACGCUAGUUAGAUCGAUUGUUUGCCUUGUUUGAUUUGAUUGAGUGAUAUUGAUUGAAUUUGUCUCAUGAGCAUAUGGGUAGUGUUUUCUCUCUAGACCUCAUUCUAUUCUUAACUCUCAUCUUUUCUAAACCUAUCAGAUGCCUCCGAGACGCGACACCAGAUUUAUUUUCCCGCCAGAUAUCACCCAGUUGAUUCAGCAACAGAAUGCCCUGAUGCAAGUGUUAGUGCAGAACCAAGGCAACAACAACAACAACCCACCGCCACCACCACCUGUUGAUCACUUAGCCCGUUUCUUAAGGCUAAACCCGCCGGUGUUUUCCAGUAGCACCGAGCCGAUUGUAGCAGAUGAUUGGCUCCGCAAAGUUGGAAGGGAGUUGACCACUGCAAGAUGCACAGAUGCGGAAAGAGUGCGUUUUGCCGCACAUCAGCUCGAUGGACCCGCAGCAUCAUGGUGGGAGAAUUAUACAGCCACGCACCCUAUUGACACUGUCACAUGGGACCAGUUUCAGCAAGCUUUCCGUACAGCUCAUGUUUCAGCAGGAGCUAUGGCUAUGAAGAAGCGUGAGUUUCGCAACCUACGCCAAGGAGGACGCACCGUAGGCCAGUAUGUGGAGGAAUUCAGUAAGCUAGCACGUUAUGCACCAGAUGACGUUGCUACAGAUGCAGCCAAGCAGGAGAAGUUUUUGGAAGGAUUGAAUGAUGAGCUGAGUAUGCAGUUGAUGGUAGCAACUUUCAACAACUACCAGGAGCUGGUAGAUAGAGCUCUCAUGAUUGAAGGGAAGCAACAGCAGAUUGAAAACCGUAAGAGGAAGUAUGGACAAGGGAAGUACAAUUCUGGAGCCCAGCAGAAGCCCCGUUUUACCCUGAAGCCGGGAGGAUAGUUUCAGCAUACCCAUGGAGGAGGUAGUUCGCACAACCAUAAUGGCUCCAAGAAUGGUAAUGGGAAUGGAGGAGGAAACGGACAGAACCGCACCAACCCAUCUACCCCAACCAAGAGAGAUCUAAGUCACAUUACUUGUUUCAAGUGCCAGAAGACGGGACAUUAUGCUACCGAUUGUCCCGAAGCCCAAAAUGGAAAUGGCAAUGGAAGCUCUGGGAAGAAGCCGAACCCGUUCAACAAAGGACAUGUGAACCACGUGAGCGUGGAGGAGGUUGAAGCUCAGCCUGAUGCAGUAAUAGGUAAGUUUUUGGUUAAGUCAUUUACUGCAACCGUUCUUUUCGAUACUGGUGUAUCGCAUUCAUACAUAUCAAGGGGAUUCAUAAACAAGUUUAAGAUGUCCACCCAAGUUCUCAAAACCCCUAUGUUAGUAACCUCGCCAGGAGCAGAGUAUAUGGCCACCCAAGGAUGUUUUCAGAUACCAUUGGCCAUUGGUAGGCAUGUUUUCCCCUCAGACCUCAUUGUUUUGGAAUUGCAAGGUUUGGAUGUGAUUUUGGGAAUGGAUUGGCUAUUGUUGUAUGGAGGAAACAUCGAUUGUGCCAGCAAGACGAUUUUGCUUACCACCCCGGAAGGAAAAAGGAUCAAGUAUGUAUCCCGGCAUAUGCCGAAGAGGACUCAAGUGAAUUCCUUAUCAGGAGUUGUACAGGAGGAAGUACCAGUGGUGAAAGAUUAUCCGGAUGUAUUUCCAGAAGAGUUGCCAGGCAUGCCACCAGAUAGAGACAUUGAGUUUUUGAUUGAACUUUUGCCAGGCACAGGGCCAAUAUCUAAGAGACCGUACAGGAUGCCCGCAAAGGAUUUGGAGGAAAUUAAGAAGCAGAUCAAGGAGUUACUGGAUAAGGGAUAUAUUCGCCCAAGUUCGUCACCUUGGGGAUCACCAGUACUUCUAGUGGAGAAGAAAGAUGGAUCGCUGAGGAUGGUUGUUGAUUACCGAGGAUUGAAUGAAGUGACCAUCAAAAACAAGUACCCACUGCCGAUGAUCAACGAUUUGUUUGACCGCUUGCAAGGAGCUAAAGUAUUUUCCAAGAUCGAUCUACGAUCAGGAUACCAUCAGUUAAAGAUUCGAGAGCAGGAUAUACCCAAGACGACAUUUACCACCAGAUAUGGAUUGUAUGAGUAUACCGUUAUGUCAUUUGGUCUGACUAACGCACUUGCCUAUUUCAUGAACCUGAUGAACAAAGUGUUUAUGGAGUUUUUGGAUAAGUUCGUCGUGGUGUUCAUUGAUGAUAUUUUAAUCUUUUCCAAGGAUGAAGAAGAGCAUGAGGAGCAUUUACGAUUGGUACUUGAGAAGCUCAGAGAACAUCAGUUAUAUGCCAAGUUCAGCAAAUGUGAAUUUUGGUUGAAGGAAGUUGGAUUCCUCGGACAUGUUAUUUCUGGAGAAGGAAUAGCAGUAGACCCCGCCAAAGUUGACAUGGUAACAAGUUGGGAAUCACCCACGACCGUUGGAGAAAUCCGGAGUUUUCUUGGACUUACAGGAUACUACCGGAGAUUUAUCGAGAAUUUCUCAAGGAUUGCUAAGCCCAUGACUGAGCUAUUGAAGAAGGACACCAAAUUCAAUUGGACUGAGGAAUGUGAAGCUAGUUUCCAAGAGUUGAAGAAACGAUUGGUUACAUCACCAGUGUUGAUUCUGCCAGAUCAACGCAAGGACUAUGAAGUUUAUUGCGACGCUUCUCGUCGAGGACUUGGAGCAGUGCUUAUGCAGGAAGGAAGAGUUGUGUCGUAUGCUUCACGACAACUGAAACCCCAUGAGAAGAAUUAUGCUACGCAUGAUUUGGAAUUAGCAGCCGUGGUGCAUGCAUUGAAAACGUGGAGACAUUUUCUCAUCGGAAAUCAUUGUGAGGUGUACACGGAUCACAAGAGUUUGAAGUACAUUUUCACGCAGAAGGAGCUAAAUCUCAGACAGAGAAGAUGGUUGGAGCUCAUUAAAGAUUAUGAUAUGAGAUUGCAUUAUCACCCAGGAAAGGCUAACGUAGUAGCAGACGCGCUGAGCCGCAAGAGUCAUGUCAACACCCUCAUGACAGGAGAGUUACCUCAGGAGUUAGCCGAGGACCUUCGCGAGCUAUGUUUGGAGAUAGUCCCUAGAGGCUAUUUAGCGACAUUGGAGAUUCAGUCUACCUUGAUGGAAAGGAUCAGAGAAGCUCAGAAGACAGACAAGGAUAUUGAAGAGAUAAAGGAGAAGAUGAGCAAAGGAAAAGCCAAGGGAUUUCGUGAGGAUGAGCACGAUACCUUAUGGUUCGAGGACCGCGUAUAUGUGCCAAAUGAUCCGGAGAUCAGGAAGUUGAUUUUGCAAGAAGCCCAUGACUCACCGUACUCGAUUCACCCAGGGAAUACCAAGAUGUAUUUGGAUUUGAAGAAUACUUUUUGGUGGACCGGAAUGAAGAAGGAUAUUGCGGAGUAUGUAGCAGUUUGUGAUGUAUGUCAGAGAGUGAAGGCAGAGCAUCAGAAGCCAGCAGGAUUGCUACAACCAUUGCCGAUACCCGAAUGGAAGUGGGAUAAAAUAGGCAUGGAUUUUAUCACAGGAUUACCCAGGACUCGUUCAGGCUAUGACUCGAUAUGGGUUGUAGUCGACCGUUUGACGGAAGUGAUUUGACUUAUGAGGAGAAACCAGUUAAGAUUCUCGAGUAUGCCAGCCGAGUUACCCGCAGCAAGGUUAUCAAGUUUUGCAAAGUUCAGUGGAGCCACCACACAGAAGAUGAAGCCACCUGGGAGCGAGAGGAAGAUCUACGGAAAGACCACUCCCACCUAUUUUCUAGCCAACCCGAAUCUCGAGGGCGAGAUUCAUCUUAAGGGGGGUAGGUUUGUAACAUCCCAAAUUUUCAAUUUGGUAUAUUAUACAUAGAUCAUCAUUGCAUAUCAUGUUUUAUUGCAUUUUGACAAAUCCUCGAUAAAUCCUAAGCAACUCAAGGACCCUCGGAGAGAGUUGGGGAUUUUCUCAAAAUUUUCAUAUUUGAUUUUCAUCAAAUAAUAAGACGAGGAUUGUGGUUUUAAUUAUUUUCUCUCCGGAAAAAUAUUUCAUUUUAAAAUAAACGAGAGGAGAAAAUAUGACUUCUCCAAAACAAUUGAAAUACUGGAGGAAAAGUGUUAAAAUCAUUAUUUGGCAUUUAUUGGAUUUUAUUUGCAAUUUUUAUUGCAUUAAAAAUAUUGCAUGUUUUCAAAAUAUUUAUUUUGAUUUAAAAAAAUGUUCACCCUAUUCUAGAUUUUCUAACUAGACGGGGAAAAUUUAUUUCAUAUUUUUCCGAUUUUUAUUUAUUUUUCUACGUAUUAUUUUCCGCGGAACUUAUUUAAAAAAAAAACGCCCGCGCGCCGACUGGGCCAAAGGCCCAGCCGACGGCCCGCCUCGCGCCUCUCCUCUUCCCGCACGACGCCGGGCCGCCGCCGGAGUCCGCCCCGGCCACGCCGCCCCGGCCGCCCUCUUCCCCAAGCUUCGGACCCCCCUCCNNNNNNNNNNNNNNNNNNNNNNNNNNNNNNNNNNNNNNNNNNNNNNNNNNNNNNNNNNNNNNNNNNNNNNNNNNNNNNNNNNNNNNNNNNNNNNNNNNNNNNNNNNNNNNNNNNNNNNNNNNNNNNNNNNNNNNNNNNNNNNNNNNNNNNNNNNNNNNNNNNNNNNNNNNNNNNNNNNNUCGCCGGAGUCCGCCCGUCGAGGUACUGCCGCUGCCGUUCGUCGUUGCCGGUUUUCGUUUUAAAAAAAAAACCCUUCGUUUAAAAAAAACCCUAGAUCGGUUUUUUUCGGUUUUAUUAUUUUGCGAGCGUUUACCGAACCGUCCGUUUUAACGAACGCGUUCGUCGGUUUUUCUCUGAUAACGAACGUCCGUUAUUUAACCGUUCGACCAUUUUUCUUUUUCGUCGGAUUUUUCUCGUUAUUUUCUCAGAUUCGAUUUCUGAUCAAAUCUUCGAUUCUGUUUAACUUCUCGCUCGUUUAUCGGAAUCAGGCGAUUCAAGCGCCUAGAGUUUCGUCUCAAAAUUCUCUUUCCGUUUAAUCUACUCAAACAAGUUUUUGCUAUAGUAAAAUUUGACCUAGAUCCAGAUUAGCAAACGAAGUUUCUUUCUUUCGCCGUUUGACUUUCGUUGCUUCUUUCGAGUUGAUUCUUUUUGCAAACCGGAGUUCUUAAGUUGAACUUUCUGGUUGGAUCAUUCAUUCGAGUUUUACCUGUGCAUUAGAUGAGUACUGAUUGUAUGCUUGUUUGUUUGCGAUAGAGUACCCGGAGUGUGCCGCUUGUUACUUCGAAUCGCUAGGUUUUGUGGAUCAUCAGCAAGGCAAGUAACACUUUGAUCAUACCCCGUUCAUACCCAGUUUUUAUUGCAUUAGAUCUGUUCUCCUCAAACACAUUGCAUGAGUAGGAUCUAAUUAAAUUGUGGGUACUGGGAAGUAGUUGAGGUAGUACCUAUUACCUGUUUUCUUAUCAAACCCUUGGGAGUUACUUCUACGUUGCUAUUAUAUUGCCACGCUAUGCUCGUAGACGUGGAUUUGGGUUUGAGUGAUAUUCAUGACAGAUGUGAGAUGUUUAUUAAUGGUUCAACUUAAGGUGGCAACUCAAACUCACAUCUGGGUGGAUUGAGGCACCUGGAGAACCCAGUGUUGCCUGUUUUUAUAAGGUCCGCCACCCAGGCUCAAAGGGAUCAUAAGAUUAUUCAUGCUAGAAACUUCCGUGUGCAGCCACAAGCUAUUAUGGGCUCUAGCAUAGCUGAGUAGGUUACAGGAUCUCUUGAAGAGGUGGACUAGCAGAUGUAGGGGAAAGUAGGUGUACCGGUCCAUCCAGAGUAAAGAGUGAUUGUUUCUGAAAGACUGUGUCUCGGUCAUCCGUUUCUCAAGCAUCAUGCAGUGCGAGAAUCAAGCGGAGGCGAUCGAGUCUUGUGGGGAAAAGUGCGCAAACCUGUGCAGAGUGUACAAACUAAUCAUGGUUAGCCGUGUCCCCGGUUAUGGACAACUUGAGUAUCUAGUACUGGAUUAUCAUUUGAAUCUCAUCACCGUGAUACUUAUAAUUAAUUUUGUUGGGUUAAUGAUGACACUUAAUUGGGAUUGAGUUGGAGGUACCUUCUCAAUGUUUCAACCACCAUGAUAGUUAAAUAAAAUUUAUUCCUUUGCAGUAGGAUAAAAUUGGCUUUUCGCAAAAACUGUAACCAUAGAGCUUUCCACCAGCCAUAUAUGCAUAUAGUAUAGCAUUAUUAUUGUUCAUUGCUCUCUAUGUGUUACUUUGCCAGCAUAUUCUAUGUGCUGACCCGUUUUCGGGCUGCAACGUUUCAUGUUGCAGACUUUUCAGACGACGAGUAAGGUGCCUUAGGUCGUGGUCUUAUACUCAGUGAUGUCGCUGGAGUGAUGGACUCACUUAUCUUCCAAGUCUUCCGCUGUUAUCGUUUUAGAUGGCCUUAAGCCAUGUUUUUCAUACUUUAACUCUUCGGAGUUAUUCGUGUAAUAAGUGUGUGAUUGCUACUCUGUUAUAAAUCCUCCAUUUGUACUGUGCGUGUCAGCAUUACUGAUCCAAGGAUGACACUGGUGCACAGCAGCACAGGCCAUUUGAGGUCUGGUCGCUACACUAACUAUCUUCCAGUAUUUGCCCGUGAUAAACUUCUUGGUUUUGAUCUAGAGGAAAUUUAUAUGUAUUGUGUGGUGAAUUGCAUUGAAAAUCCUUAUAUUGACAACUACAUAAAGAAAAGAAAACAAAUAGAAGAUGAAGAGAAUGCUAACGAAAGGGAAGAGACUUCCCAAUAUUCUCCUAUUAUUUCUUAUGAUGAAUCAGAUAACGAGGAGGAGCCUUCUAUCCAACCAAUCUCAUUAAUAAGGAGAUCCAAAAAGAGGAUUGAAACCACACAUGAUGAGGUGAAGAAGAAGAAAAGAAAAAGGAAGAGAGGUAAAAAGAUAUCUCUCCCAAAUAAUGUUGCUCCUAUUAUUGUUGUGCCUCAUGAUAAUGAAUCAAAAAUAAUUGUGGAAGAUGACGCACUUGAUGAUGAUCUCGUUAUGCCUAUUGCUUGUUGUGAUGAUUAUGAUGGGGAAGAUAAUGAUACUCCUUAUGAUCUUGAAAAUCUUUUUGGCACUUGCUUGGAAGAAUAUGAUAAUUGCUAUACUAUUGGUGCUAUCCAUACUAUUAAUAAUGAGAGUGAUUAUGCUUAUGAUAUGAAAAGGCCCAAGCUUGGGGAAGCUAUGUUUGAUAAGGAUGACAUAUUUGAGAAUAUAUUUGCUGAAAUUAAUGUUUGUCCCAAGCUUGGGGAUGCUAUGUUUAAUAAUGAUGAUAUUUUUAGCCUCCCAAGUUUUGAUAUGCAAAGUUGUUAUGAUGAUAGCAUGCCUUCUACCUAUGAUGAUUAUAUUGAUGAAAGUGGGUUUGGAAGAGUGUCAACUUUAGGAAGUAAUGAUCCCACUAUUUUGGAGGAUGUUGAAUCUUAUAAUAUUUAUGAAAGUGGAUUUGGAGAGGUCAUGACUUUAUUUAGUGAUGUAUCCACUAUUUCGGAAGAGGUUUCAAUUGAUUAUGAUGAGAACAAAGUUGCUACUUAUGAUGAUUAUUGUGAUGAAACUUAUGCUAUAAAGAGUAGUGAUGAUUAUAUUUAUAAAACUUGUCAUGAUUAUGAGUACCCCUUCUCUGAACAUUACUCUUUUAAUGUGGAAACAAUUUAUAGUAUUCAAGUCUCUUAUGAUACUCCCACUAUUCCGAAUGAGAAGAAUUUUGCUUAUGUGGAGAGUAAUAAAAUUUCUAUGCUAGUAGAUCAUGAAAAGAAUGCUUUAGGUGCUGGUUAUAUUGUUGAAUUCAUUCAUCAUGCUACUAAAAAUUAUUAUGAGGGAGGAAUAUAUGCUUGUAGGAAUUGCAAUAAUAUCAAGUUUCCUCUCUAUGUGCUUAAAGUUUUGAAGUUAUGCUUGCUUUGCCUUCCUAUGCUAGUUGAUUGUUGUUCCCAUAAGUUGUUUGCUCACAAAAUCCCUAUGCAUAGGAAGUGGGUUAGACUUAAAUGUGCUACUCAUAUUCUUCAUGAUGCUCUCUUUAUGUUUCAAUUCUUAUCUUUUAUGUGAGCAUCAUUGAAAUCAUCAUGCCUAGCUAGGGGCAUUAAACGAUAGCGCUUGUUGGGAGGCAACCCAAUUUUAUUUUAGUUCUUUGCCUUUUGCUUCUGUUUAGGAAUAAAUAAUCCAUAUAGCUUGUGUUUAGAUGUGGUUUUAUGUUUUAAUUAGUGUUUGUCCCAAGUAAGACCUAUAGGAUCUUCUUGGAUGAUAGUUAUUUGAUCUUGCUGAAAAUUCCAGAAACUUUCUGUUCACGAAAACAAUUGUUAAAAAUCACCAGAACGUGAUAAAAUAUUGAUUCCAAUUGCAGCAGAUCAAUAAACAAAUUGUCUAGGUUUUCCUAUUUUGGUAGAUUUUUUGGAGUUCCAGAAGUAUACGUUUGAUACAGAUUACUACAGACUGUUCUGUUUUUGACAAAUUCUGUUUUCUUAGUAUUGUUUGCUUAUUUGAUGAAUCUAUGAGUAGUAUCGGAGGGUAUGAACCAUAGAGAAGUUGGAAUACAGUAUAUAUUACACCAAUAUGAAUUUAGAAUGAUCACACAACAGUACCUAAGUGGUGAUUUUAUUUUCUUAUACUAACGGAGCUUACGAGUUUUCUGUUGAGUUUUGUGUUGUGAAGUUUUCAAGUUUUGGGUAAAGAUUCGAUGGACUAUGGAAUAAGGAGUGGCAAGAGCCUAAGCUUGGGGAUGCCCAAGGUACCCCAAGGUAAUAUUCAAGGAUGACCAAGAGCCUAAGCUUGGGGAUGCCCCAGAAGGCAUCCCCUCUUUCGUCCUCAUUCAUCGGUAACUUUACUUGGAGCUAUAUUUUUAUUCACCACAUGAUAUGUGUUUUGCUUGGAGCGUCAUGUAAUUUUAUUUUGUUUUGCUUGCUGUUUGAAUAAAGUAUCAAGAUCUGACAUUCUUAAAAUGGGAGAGUCUUCACAUGGUUGCAUAAUUAUUUAACUACUCAUUGAUCUUCACUUAUAUCCUUUUGGAGUAGUUUGUCAUUUACUCGUGUGCUUCACUUAUAUCCUAUGAGUAAAUGGUUGAAUGAUUUGAAUGUCAUAAAUCUGAAAUUAUAUAUGUUUCAUAUGCCUUUCCAAUGAGGAGUAAUGACUUUACAUAUAAGAAGUAGAGGUGGUAAAUUUAUUGAAGGUUAGCAAACGUUGUAUUGGUCACUUGAACAAUUCAUGAAAGAAUAUUGAAGGAAGAGAGAUUUCACAUAUAAUACUAUCUUGGACAUCUUAUAUGAUUGUGAGCCCCAUUAAUUAUUUUUAAACCUGAGCAAAUUAGUUGAAGUUGGACAAGGAAGACAACAUAAUGAGUUAUGCUUGGGUAUAUUUGUAUAGAAGUUAUAUUGUUAUGGAUCCUCUAACAUGUGGUGCUUACUAUUUAGAAUCCUUUGCUAGCCAAAAUAUCUGUACUAAGCGGGAAUACUGCUUGUGCAUCCAAACUCCUUGAACAAAGUUUCUUCCAUGAGUGUCCACCAUAUCUACCUAUAUGCGGUAUUUACCUGCCGUUCCAAGUAAAUUUGCAUGUGCCAAACUCUAAACCUUCAAAUAAUAAUCUGUUUUGUAUGCCCGAAUCGCUCAUGUAGCGACUAGGGGCUAGCAAUAUCUGUUGGAAAUAUGCCCUAGAGGCAAUAAUAAAUGGUUAUUAUUAUAUUUCUUUGUUCAUAAUAAUUGUCUAUUGUUCAUGCUAUAAUUGUGUUAUCCGGAAAUCGUAAUACAUGUGUGAAUACAUAGACCACAACGUGUCCCUAGUAAGCCUCUAGCUGACUAGCUCGUUGAUCAACAGAUAGUCAUGGUUUCCUGACUAUGGACAUUGGAUGUCAUUGAUAACGGGAUCACAUCAUUAGGAGAAAGAUGUGAUGGACAAGACCCAAUCCUAAGCAUAGCUCAAAGAUCGUGUAGUUCGUUUGCUAGAGCUUUUCCAAUGUCAAGUAUCUUCUCCUUAGACCAUGAGAUCGUGCAACUCCCGGAUACCGUAGGAGUACUUUGGGUGUGCCAAACGUCACAACGUAACUGGGUGACUAUAAAGGUACACUACGGGUAUCUUCGAAAGUGUCUGUUGGGUUGGCACGGAUCGAGACUGGGAUUUGUCACUCCGUAUGACGGAGAGGUAUCUCUGGGCCCACUCGGUAAUGCAUCAUCAUAAUGAGCUCAAUGUGACUAAGGAGUUAGUCACGGGGUCAUGCAUUGCGGUAUGAGUAAAGAGACUUGCCGGUAACGAGAUUGAACAAGGUAUUGGGAUACCGACGAUCGAAUCUCGGGCAAGUAACAUACCGAUUGACAAAGGGAAUUGUAUACGGGAUUGAUUGAAUCCUCGACAUCGUGGUUCAUCCGAUGAGAUCAUCGUGGAACAUGUGGGAGACAACAUGGGUAUCCAGAUCCCGCUGUUGGUUAUUGACCGGAGAGGCGUCUCGGUCAUGUCUGCAUGUCUCCCGAACCCGUAGGGUCUACACACUUAAGGUUCGGUGACGCUAGGGUUGUAGAGAUAUGAGUAUGCGGAAACCCGAAAGUUGUUCGGAGUCCCGGAUGAGAUCCCGGACAUCACGAGGAGUUCCGUAAUGGUCCGGAGGUGAAGAAUUAUAUAUAGGAAGUCCAGUUUCGGCCACCGGGAAAGUUUCGGGGGUUAUCGGUAUUGUACCGGGACCACCGGAAGGGUCCCGGGGGUCCACCUAUCCCGGAGGGCCCCAUGGGCUGAAGUGGGAAGGGAACCAGCCCUUAGUGGGCUGGGGCGCCCCCAUGGGCCUCCCCCUGCGCCUAGGGUUGGAAACCCUAGGGUGGGGGGGGGGCGCCCCACUUGACUUGGGGGGGGGGGAGUUUCCCCCCCUUGGCCGCCGCCCCCCCCACAGAUGGGUUCCUGGCCGGCGCCCCCCUCCCAGGGGGCCUAUAUAAUGGGAGGGGGAGGGAGGGCAGCAAUACCACAGCCUUUGGCGCCUCCCUCCUUCCCUGCAACACCUCUCCCUCUCGCAGAAGCUUGGCGAAGCCCUGCCGAGAUCCCGCUACAUCCACCACCACGCCGUCGUGCUGCUGGAUCUCCAUCAACCUCUUCUUUCCCCUUGCUGGAUCAAGAAGGAGGAGACGUGUAACGUCCACGAUGCGGCUAUAUCUCCCACGUGUCGAGGCACGACUUAGAGGCAUAACCGCAUAGUGGUUUUGUCGCAAGAAGGGUCAUCUUCACACAAUCACAUGUAAUGAACAAGAAUGGGAUAAAGAGUUGGCUUACAAUCGCCACUUCACACAAUACAUGAAUAAAUAUCAUACAUCAUCCAAAAUACAAACAUAUAGACCGACUACGGUCAAAAUCCAGAUGAAAAUAAGACAACCCCAAAUGCUAGAUCCCCGAUCGUCCCAACUGGGCUCCACUACUGAUCAUCAGGAAAAGACACAUAGUAACGACCACGUUCCUCGUCGAACUCCCACUUGAGAUAGACGCCAUCAUCUGCACUGGCAUCGUCGGCACCUGCAACUGUUUUGGUAGAAUCUGUGAGUCACGAGGACUCAGCAAUCUCACACCCGCGAGAUCAAGACUAUUUAAGCUUGUAGGAAAGGAGGGUGCAAUGAGGUGGAGCUGUAGCGGCAAAAGCAUAUAUGGUGGUUAACUUGCGCAAAUGAGAGCGAGAAGAGAAGCAACGGAACGGUCGUCAUCUAGUAAUGACCAAGAAGUGAUCCUGAACACCUACUUACGUCAUACAUAACUCAGACCGUGUUCACUUCCCGGACUCCGCCGAGAAGAGACCAUCACGGCUACACACGCAGUUGAUGUAUUUUAAUUGGGUCAAGUGACAAGUUCUCUACAACCGGUCAUUAACAAAUUCCCAUCUGCCUCAUAACCGCGGGCACGGCUCUCGAAAGAUAAUACCCUGCAGGGGUGUCCCAACUUAGCCCAUCAUAAGCUCUCACGGUCAACGAAGGAUAAACCUUCUCCCGGAAAGGCCCGAUCAGUCUCGGAAUCCCGGUUUACAAGACAUCUCGACAAUGGUAAAACAAGACCAGCAAAGCCGCCCGAAUGUGCCGACAAAUCCCGAUAGGAGCUGCACAUAUCUCGUUCUCAGGGCACACCGGAUGAACACUACGUACAACUAAAACCAAUCCUCGAGUUUCCCCAAGGUGGCGCUGCAAGUGGCUCUAGUUUGGACCAGCACUCAGAGGAACACUGGCCCGGGGUUUAAAUAAAGAUGACCCUCGGGCUCGCGAAAACCCGGGGGAAAAGGCUUAGGUGGCAAAUGGUAAAACCAAAGUUGGGCCUUGCUGGAGGAGUUUUAUUCAAGGCGAACUGUCAAGGGGGUCCCAUAAAUCACCCGACCGCGUAAGGAACGCAAACUCAAGGAACAUAAUCCCGGUAUAUCAGUAACUAGGGCGGCAAGAGUGGAACAAAACACCAGGCAUAAGGCCGAGCCUUCCACCCUUUACCAAAUAUAUAGAUGCAUUAACUAAAUAAGAGAUAUUGUGAUAUCCCAACAUAUCCAUGUUCCAACAUGGAACAAACUUCAACUUCCCCUGCAACUAGCAACGCUAUAAGAGGGGCUGAGCAAAAGCGGUAACAUAGCCAAACAACGGUUUGCUAGGAAAGGAUGGUUAGAGUCUGACAUGGCAAUAUGGGAGGCAUGAUAUAGCAUGAGAUAGGUAGCGAGCAUGGCAAUAGAGCGAACAACUAGCAUAUCAAAGAUAGAAGUGAUUUUGAGGGGUGGUCAUCUUGCCUGCAAGGUUCUCAGAGUUGUCGAAAGCUUGAUCCUCGUAAGCGUACUCAAUAGGUUCCUCGUUCACGAACUCGUCUCCCGGCUCUACCCAAGGCAAGAAUACAAACAAACGGAACCACGAUCAACAACGAGAAAUGCACAAGCAACAUGAUGCAAAACAUGUAUGACAUGCAAGAUAUGAUAUGCGAUGCAUAUGCGUGCUCCGGAAGGAAAAUGAUGAACAUGGCAGUAACUUGACAAACCAAGCAUGCCACUGGAUAGAUGAGAUGAUUUCGGUCGAAAUCGAUAUAAAGAUCACCGGAAACGGAUGCACGGUUUGCAAAUGGCGAGCAAAACAAGAAUGACACGAAUCUGCGAUUAACAGCAUGAUAGCACUUAAAAUGCAACAAGAAACAAUGCUACAGCACUCCAACAUAGCAAAAAAGCAUAUGAAAGUAAUCUACAGGAGAUGCUUGACAAAAGAUGAACACUGAGCUACGGCUAGUUCACAACAUAUCAAGCUCAAACAAGCAUGGCAAAAGUGCAAAAGAUAACAGGUUCACAGACUUGGUGAAAAACUGGACAAGGCAGAAAACAGCAUCAGGUAGCAAUGUUCAGAGCAUGAAAUCAUCAUGCUACAGGAACUUAACAUAGCAAAACAAGGCAUGUCCGUGUUCUACUAAAUGCACAUGACAAAAGUCCCUUACUGACCAUAAGCCAAAAAGGACCAGAAGAUAUGAUGGAAAGCAUGUAAACAUAGCAAGUUUCGUUAUCAGGUUUCAGACUUAGCAGAAAACAGAGCAUGGCAGAAAUAAUAAUAAGUAGGCCUCUUUGUGAGCUUGAUGCACUCACUACAGAGCAAUGCACUAUAAACCAAGCACACCUACAGCAAUAUGACAUGUUUAUGAAGCUAUCCAUGGAAAGAACAAUUGCAUAGCAUGUAUGGAUCAACUACAAUAAGCUUGGCAAAAUUGCAUAUCAUGUUAAUAAUCUGCCAGAAAUAUUUUGUAGCCAAAGUAGAGCAAGAUUGAGUCAUGCUAUGGCACUCCAUAAUUGCAAAAAAGGGCAGGAAUGGAUCAACUACAACUAUAGCUACAAAACAUCCUUACUGAACAUCUCCAAAAUAUGCAUGGAUCUCUAUGUAGCAUCAAGUUUACAUGGCAACAAAAUAACAGUAGACAAGGACUUAGAGAAAUCACCAAGUCCCUGAAAUCAGAAACAUUACGGAGCCUAGUUUGCAUGCUUGUGCUAGUCACCACAGAGAUCACAAAAAUACAUGGACUACACCGCUGGAAAUAUGGCAUGGCAUACUUCAAAACACAUGUAGAGCUCAUGCCAAAAAGAUGCACAGAAUAAAUGAUACAAAAAUGACAAAUCUCCAAGUUCUGUUAAGAACCAGAAGAUAACAGCAACUAGCCCUCUUCCAACAGAGAUUCGGGCAUCAAGAUGACCUCUAAUGAACAUGGUGCAAUUGAACAAAAUUAAGAGCAUCAUGAGUCGAACAAUUUGACAUAUUCCACGCGUGAAUCGGAGCUACAUGCAAGGAGUUAUGGCAUCACGAACAAGUGCACAUGCUGAGACAAAUUACAAGACUUAGAGAAAUUAGGGGGGCUCGGGGAAAAAAAAUCAACCGUACGGGAUCUGUUGAGGAUAUAGACCUGGGAGUCACCCGCCAGGAGGGCCGGGUUACACUAAGGGUCAUUGCCAGAAGCCCGGAGCUAAGUUUCAAGAUAAUGGGCCAGAGAUGGGCUGAGACCCGGCGAUGGCUUAAAGCCCGUAGUACAAUCUUUAUUGUUAUAGUAGACUUGUAGUGUAAGGCAAGUAUUGUUUAGAGUCCGAGCCGGACACUCUUAUGAGCCGGCCGGGACUCUAAGGGCCGCUGGGUGUCAACCUCCCUAUAUAAAGGGACGACCCGGCAGCGGUUUAGGGACGACAACAAUCUGAUCGAGAGCCGGGCAUAGCUGUUUAGCUCCCUGGUUAUCGAAACCCUGAUUAAUACCACCUCAACUGGACGUAGGCUUUUACCUUCACCGUAAGGGGCCGAACCAGUAUAAACCCUCGUGUUCCUUGUCCCACUUAACCCCUUCAAGCUUCCCAAUUGCGAUGGCUCCACGACUAAGUCCUAACCCGAGGACAUCUGCCGUGACAAUUCCACGACAGUUGGCGCCCACCGUGGGGCUGGCGCACGGUGGAUUUGAGUUCUUGAAGGGCAGCUUCGAAGGGCUCAAGGGAUACGCUGUGGGCCAGAUGACCAAGAGUCGUCGCGGCAAGCUCUACAUCGACGAUGCGGACUGGGGCCCCGACGCCGGCUCAGUGGAGUACGGGUACCGGGUCCCCUUCGGUGGAAUUCAUGUCUUCAUCGGCAAGAUUGGAGAGCCGGGCCCCGAGCCGGAUCUCCGCGCCGGUCUCAUCGAAACGGCUCAGCGCGCACGACCCGCCCGGGCCCGGCCUGCCUUAAAGCGCGCUUUUGUGGGAUGCAUCCACGGAGGGCCCUCUGAUCCAUCUGGGUCUGGGGAUGAGGCGGCCGCCGGCUCUGACGGCGAGUCGGCCGCUGAUGAGUCAAACUCGUUGUACCAACUUCAAGAUGGCAGGCUCAUGAGUUAUUCCGAUGGCAGCAGUAUUCCGGACCUUUUUGAGCCGCCAAGUCAGGUUGGAGUUUUUAUGGCUUAUGGCUGGUGCGCAGCCUGUUCAGAACCCCGCUUCCGGAUCGGAAAACCCGGUGCCUUCCCCGGCUCAGGCGCUGAUGGAUCUCACGGAUAAGAUGACGGCCCUGUUAACCGCAAUGGUCGACCCGGCGGAUCAAGUUCAGCAUGAUGCGGUGGUGGCACAGCUAAAAUUGGAUCUGAUAAAAGCUAAAGAGGACCUUGCAGCGGAAGGGAUCAGACUGGCUGCGGAGCGGGCGGCUCUCGAUGCCCGGACUCAGCUGAUUCAGGCGCAGUCCUUCCAACUCACGAUGGAUCAGAACGCGGCCAAUGAGGUCAUGAGAAGGAGGCAUCAAAAGGCUCAAUCUCGACUCCCGCCGGUUUACGAUCCGCGCAACCUCUUCAACACACCGGGUGCAGGGUCUAGUCACCCGCCGGGGGUCGUAGCACCCGGAUCUGGACCCCUUAUUCAACCACGAGUGAUGGGGCCUCCCCAGGGGCCCCCCGCCCCGCCUCAGUAUGUGCCAAUACCCCCGGGCCAUUAUAAUAACCCGCUGGAGAACAUGGUCGCCGCAGCGGCACGGCUGGCGGCUCUGCCCGUUGAUGGCGACUCUCCGAUGGCUAUUGAGACCCGCCGGUCAGAGAACUCCUCCAGACAGCGCUGGCGCAGCAAGAGGCGUACUCCUACAGCCGGGAUAGGAUCCAUUCAACCCCUCGUCUAGGGCAGAGCCCGAGUUACAGCCGGCACAUGGUCUCGGCGACCGGCUCAAGUAAUGUCCGACGCCAUGACCCGCCCCCUGGUCAUGGCCCGGCUCAUAAUGGAGCCUUCUACGUAGAAGACCAAGCACGCCAGGAGGCGGAGCAGGCGCCUCAAGUGAUGGCUUACCAGACCCCCCCGGCUUAUCCGACGAUGUCCGUUGAUGCGGGUAUCCCUACUAGAACCGGGGGUGUCCCGUGUUUGAUGCCAGCUAUCCGUAAUGAACGUCUACCCAAGGACUUCAAAGGACCUAGGAAGGUGCCUAACUAUACAGCAGACUUACAGCCGGCAGCCUGGAUCGAGAGUUAUGAGAUGGCUAUGGAAUUGCUGGAAGUCAGCGAGGCGGCCAUGGCCAAAUAUUUCACCAUGAUGUUAGAUGGAACUGCCCGCACGUGGUUGAAAGGGUUACCGCCGAACUCCAUCGGGUCUUGGGCUGAGCUGAAAGCCCGGUUCAUUCAAAACUUCAAAGAUACCUGCAGGCAAUCUAUGUCAAUCGUGGAUCUGACUAACUGUAAGCAGCAGGAGGGUGAAUCCACGACCCAUUGGGUUCGCCGGGUCAAGGAGAUCAUACAUUCAUCGGAUAAGAUGGAUGCCGGCUCUGCAAUCUUAAUGUUGGAACAAAACUGUCGCUUUGUGCCCCUAAAGAUGAAACUCGGGCGGCUUAAGCGUGACUGUACUGAUAUGGGUACACUGAUGGCAGCUCUUGUCAAGUACGCCGAUUCCGAUGGUACCAAGGAUCCCCCUUCAGAUGAUGAAAGGGCAGGGAAGGGAAAGAAGAACGGCAACGGCAAGGGUCCUCAGUUUAGCCCGGGGAACCAAGGAGGAGGCAAGCGCAAGGCCGAUGGCAGCCUAGAGUUUGUAGCCAACACCAACUCUCAAGGUAAUAACCAGCGACGCAAGGGGAGGCCCCCUCCCCGAGGCGGCGGGUCAGGACCUUCUCUGGAACAGCUGUUGAAUGAACCUUGUCCGAGACACGGUUCUAGAGAGAAGCCAGCGACUCAUCUGUGGAAGGAUUGUGCUAUCAUGAAGGCCUUUAAAAACUACAAUGGUCCGGGUGGCGGCUCAGGCGCCGGCGGCUUUCAUGGCCUGGGCGGCGGGUCAAAUUCCGGUCCUCAGAACGGUCAAGGGGGCUUUAAUCAACAGUCUGGUCAGGGUCAUCAACAGCAACAGGGGGGCUAUCAGACCAACCCAAAGCAGCUUAGCGGUGGACAGUAUCACGUGUUCACCACUAGUUUGUGCAAACGAGACGAGAAGCUUCACAAGAGGGCUGUUAAUGCGGUUGAGCCGGCGGUUCCACGCUACUUACGGUGGUCGGAGCAGCCCAUAGUGUGGAGUAGGGAGGAUCACCCUCCCCGGGUGGAUAACCCGGGCCACCUGGCCUUAGUGGUGGCUCCUCAAGUGGGAGGCUAUAAGUUCACAAAGGUACUCAUGGAUGGAGGCAGCAGCAUCAACAUCCUCUAUUAUGAGACUUUCCGUCGUCUGGGGCUAGUUGAUAAGAACCUCAGCCAGUCAAAUACUAUCUUCCAUGGUGUGGUACCCGGUAAAUCGGCUUAUCCAGUCGGCAAGAUCGAACUGGAAGUGGCCUUCGGUGAUGAGAACAACUACAGGGUGGAGAAGUUGACCUUUGAGGUGGUCAAGAUAAGAAGUCCUUACCACGCCAUAUUUGGACGGCCGGCUUACGCCAAGUUCAUGGCACGGCCGUGUUAUGUGUACUUACAACUCAAGAUGCCGGGUCACAACGGGACCAUUACGGUUCACGGCAGCCGGAAAGUGGCUCUGGAGUGUGAGGAAGGUGACGCGGCUUAUGCAGAGUCUGUUUGUGCCACAGAAGAGUUGAAAUUUUAUAAAGACAAUGUUGACCCAACAGAUAUGACCUCUCUGAAAAAGCCAACCACGGAGAAUGAACCAGCAAUGAAGUUUAAAUCAGCUGAUGAGACUAAACUUGUUGAUUUUGUUCCAGGUGACUCGUCUCAGCAGUUCAACAUCAGUGCAAAUCUGGACCCGAAAUAGGAAGGCGCGCUCAUCGAGUUCAUCCGUGAGAAUAGGGACAUCUUCGCAUGGAAACCUUCUGACAUGCCAGGUGUACCUAGAGAACUCGCUGAGCACACUCUCAAUGUUGAUCCAAAAUUUAAGCCGGUCAGACAGUUCCUUCGACGGUUUAACGAAGAGAGGCGGAAGGCUAUUGGUGAAGAAGUGGCCCGGCUUUUGGCGGCCGGGUUCAUUGUUGAGGUUUUUCACCCAGAGUGGUUGGCUAACCCGGUGCUUGUACUUAAGAAGAACGGCACCUGGCGGAUGUGUGUGGACUACACGGACUUGAACAAGGCGUGUCCGGCUGAUCCUUUUGCUCUCCCCCGUAUUGAUCAGAUCAUUGAUGCUACGGCAGGUUGUGCACGCUUAAGUUUCUUGGAUGCCUAUUCCGGGUAUCAUCAGAUUAAGAUGGCAGUUAAGGACCAGGAGAAGACGACGUUCAUCACUCCCUUUGGAGCCUUUUGCUAUGUCUCUAUGCCCUUUGGGCUCAAGUGUGCGCAGGCGACUUACCAGCGUUGUGUACAGAAUUGUCUCCAUAAACAGAUCGGGCGCAAUGUUCACGCUUACGUGGACGAUAUUGUGGUUAAGUCCAUCAAGGAGGAAACCCUGAUAGAUGACUUAAGGGAAACCUUCGAUAAUCUCCGGGUCUACAAGAUGAUGCUUAACCCGGCCAAAUGUGUUUUUGGUGUUCCUGCGGGCAAGCUAUUGGGCUUCUUGGUUUCUGACAGAGGAAUUGAAGCUAACCCGGAGAAGAUCACAGCUAUCACUUCUCUAGCUAAGCCGGCAUGUAUAAAUGAUGUUCAGCGUUUGGCAGGUCGCAUCGCUGCUUUAAGCCGGUUCAUAAGCCGCUUGGGUGAGAAGGCUAUGCCCUUAUAUCAGUUGAUGAAGAAAACGGAUAACUUUGUCUGGAAUGAUGCAGCUAAUACCGCCUUCGAGGAUUUGAAAAAGCAACUGGCAGAGCCCCCCGUCCUUGCUGCUCCGGUUGAUAAGGAGCCCUUGCUACUGUAUGUGGCGGCAAACACACGAGCCGUCAGUGUGGCUAUGGUGGUGGAGCGUAAGGAGACGGGUAAGGAGCAUCCGGUUCAGCGGCCGGUUUAUUAUGUCAGUGAGGUGCUUAUUGAGUCCAAGCAGCGAUACCCGCACUGGCAGAAGCUUGUAUAUGGUGUGUUCAUGGCGAGCCGGAAACUCAAGAAUUAUUUUCAGGGUCAUCCCAUCACUGUGGUCAGUUCUGCCCCUCUUGGGGAUAUUAUCCAGAACUGAGAGGCUACAGGGAGAAUUGCUAAGUGGGCUAUUGAGCUUGGGCCUCAUGGCCUCAAAUAUGUGCCACGCACUGCUGUUAAGUCUCAGGCUUUGGUGGAUUUUAUUAAUGAUUGGACAGAGUCGCAAGUGCCUGAGCAGAAGCCGGAUAACACCUAUUGGACUAUUCACUUUGAUGGGUCCAGGCAGCUGGAGGGCUCGGGGGCUGGUGUUGUAUUGGCUUCCCCUAGGGGUGACAAGUUCCAGUAUGUGCUACAAUUGAUGUUUCCUUGCACUAACAAUGCGGCUGAAUACGAGGCCUUACUCCACGGUCUUCAGGUGGCUAAGGAGAUGAGCUUAAGCCGGGUACGGUGCUUUGGGGACUCAGAUUUGGUGGUUCAACAAGUAUUAGGCACUUGGGAUUCUAAGGAUCCCCUCAUGGCAGCUUAUCGCCGCGAGGUUGAUGCCAUUGCUGGGCACUUUCAGGGAUAUCAAGUGGAGCACAUUGAUCGCAGGAAGAACGAGGCGACUGAUGCUUUAAGCCGGCUCGGCUCUCAGCGAAAGCCGGUGCCGCCUAACACUUUCCUGGAUGUCCUAUAUAACCCUUCGGUUAAGUUGCCUACAGAGGAGGACUUGGCUAUCCCUGACCCGGAGGCACGACUGGUGGCGGCUCUUCAUGUCAUACCAGACUGGACAAUGCCGUACUUGGUUUAUAUAACCCGGGGAGAGUUGCCUGAGGAUGAAACUUUGGCCAGGCAAAUAAUCCGGCGGGCCAAGUCAAUGAUUGUUAUCAACGGCGAGUUGCAUCAUCGCAGUGUUUCAGGGGUAUUUCAGCGUUGUAUUUCCCCUGAGGAAGGUCAAGAGAUCUUGCGCGAGAUCCAUGAAGGGGAUUGCGGCCAUCAUGCCGGCUCAAAAUCCCUUGUGGCCAAGGCAUUCCGUCAUGGUUUUUAUUGGUUGACGGCUCACGCUGAUGCGGAGGACUUGGUCAGUAAGUGUGAUGGUUGUCAGAGGUUCUCCCGACGGGCUCAUGUGCCGGCUCAGGAAUUGAGGAUGAUCCCGAUCACUUGGCCCUUUGCGGUCUGGGGGCUUGAUAUGGUCGGGCCUUUUAAACGGUCCAGGGAUAAGAAGACCCACCUCUUGGUGGCAGUGGACAAAUUCACGAAGUGGGUGGAAGCUGAGCCAGUUAGCAAGUGUGAUGCAGCCACGGCGGUUCAAUUCAUGAAAAAGGUGAUCUUCCGCUUCGGCUUUCCGCACAGCAUCAUAACAGACAAUGGCACUAAUCUGUCCAAAGGCGCUAUGGAGGAGUUUUGUCAACGAGAGCAUAUCCGGCUUGAUGUUUCUUCAGUGGCUCAUCCCCAGUCCAAUGGUCAAGCUGAGAGAGCUAACCAGGAGAUUCUGAAGGGCAUCAAACCCCGGCUUUUGGUCCCUUUGCAACGGACGCCGGGUUGUUGGGUGGAGGAGUUGCCCUCCGUCUUAUGGAGCAUCAACACUACUCCUAACAGGUCUACUGGCUUCACGCCUUUCUUCAUGGUUUAUGGGGCAGAAGCGGUCCUCCCUAGCGACAUCCGUCAUGAUUCACCUCGUGUGGCGGCUUAUGUUGAGACGGACAAUGAACAGGCGCGCCAAGUUGCUCUGGACUUGUUGGAUGAACAGCGUGAUGUGGCAGCAGCCCGUUCAGCGAUUUACCAACAAGACCUGCGCCGUUAUCAUAGCCGCCGGGUCAAAACCCGGGUCUUCCAGGAAGGCGACCUUGUGCUCCGGCUCAUCCAGGAUCAAACAGAUGCACACAAAUUAUCCCCACCUUGGGAAGGGCCCUUUGUGGUCAGUAAGAACUUGCACAACGGGUCAUAUUACCUCAUUGAUGUUCGGGAGCGUAAAGAUUCGCGUAAAUCUGAGGAGGAGACCCGUCGGCCGUGGAAUAUCGCUCAGCUUCGGCCUUAUUACACUUGAGCUACCGGCUCUUGUGGUGUACAUAUUUAUCUCAGACAUAUAUAUAUAUUAUGAUAAGCAAUAAAGCAGGACCUCUGUCCUUUUUUCUCCUCCAAAUAUACGUGUCAUACUAAUUUGAAAGGAGGAUCCGGCUUAUGAUCGCAUUUGAGUCUAGCCGUAAGCAGUAAGAUCACUUGGGGGCUUCCUGUUCAAACAUGGGUCGUAUUCGAACCAAAGAGAACAUAGCUGUCGAUACCCAUUUGAUUGGCAAAGUGCCGAGCUCAUUGGGAGGUUGCCUUUGGUCAUAUUUGAAUCAUAGUGUAACCCCUCUGAGAACCGACGUGGAUCGUAUUCGAAUCAGCGUCGUUAAACAAUUUUCAGAAUCACUUGGGGGCUUCCUGUUCAAACAUGGGUCGUAUUCGAACCCAAGAUAACAUAGCUGUCGGUACCCUCUUGAUUGGCAUCGCCACACCCAUUGGGGGCUAUAUGAUCGUAUCCGAAUCUUGGCUUAAACCCCUUUCGGGCCGGGUCUCUGGUCGUAUUCGAACUGGAAGCCCCUAAGUUCCGAUUUAUCGCAAAGUCUACUCUGAUUAUGACAACGUGUGCAUGGCCGGGUUUCGCUUGACCGGCUUAAUUUUGGAGUUAUCUUGUUAAUUGAACAUCCUGGAUGUCAUCAAGACAAGUCCAUUAGAGUUAAGAUACCAACCAUGCUACCCGGGUCAUUUAAUCCGGAGGGUGGUAAGCCGUCUUGAGACUUGUGAUUUACCUUUCUAUGCAGAUGCUUGAAGGUACUUUUUUAAAGGUUGAGAAGCACGAAGGAUAAUUAUGACCCGGAGGAGCAUCAAAAGAAUGACUUCAAAGGAUUUCAGCAUUCAUUACGUGCACGAUGGCACGGCAGAGAUAAAUUGUUGCACUUAUUCUAUUACAAAAAUCUUUCAAAGUUUCAAGGGUGGAGCGUUGUUUGGUGAGCCGCUAGCCGGUUUAUGACGCCUGCUGAGUCGAAGUCCCCGGCUCAUCUUCUGCUCCGGCUGAUCCCAAGGCUUCGAAGGUCGACGACUUCCAGUUGAUGCCGCUGAGAGCUUCGAACUGAGCUUCUUCGUCAAUUAACCCGGCCGGGUCAAUCUCGGGGGCGUAGGUGUGUUGGCGAACCGGAGGAAUCAGACUAAGAGCUUCAUAGCGAGGGGUUGGAAUCCUCUGAUUCUCCGUGUUGUACCCCGGCUGAUACUUGGUUAAGUCGGUGUCGUUCCCGAUGAUGGUGGCCACCGGGCGUACAGCCUUCACGCAUGCCGCGAAAUCCUUCUGGUCGAAGGUGGAGCCGUCUUCCUUCAGGCUGGGGUAACCCAGGGCGAUGUCUGCCGGGUCUAGCUCCGGCAGGAAGGCUUUGGCCCGGCUCAGCGCGGCAAUUGCUCCGGAUCUUGCGGAGGCUCGACGUAGCUCUUGGAUUCGCUGUGGCAAAACUGCGAGCCGGCGCAGGACUUCAGCCAGAUGGGUUGGCACCUCAUUGGAUAGGGCCACCACAGCUAAGGCACGCUGUGACCCGGUGUAGAGUUGUUCCACCAGGGUGUACACGGCCUUUAGCUUGGUGACCACGCUCUGGUUGAGGUUGGCACUCCUGGGACCUGUUUAAUAAAGGUCAGGUAAGACGGCGACAAGGGUGAAUCGUAACAUGUGCAGACUUGAUGAAAGCCGGUGAGGUGACUUACCAAAGAUAGCAGCCACCAUUUGGGAAACCUGGUGCUUUAGACCGGAGAGCUCAGCGGUCUUCUCAGUGAGGGCCUUCUCCGCCUGUUCUGCCCGGGUCACCAGUGCGGCUUUCUCCUCAGCCCAGGCCUUCCGCUCAGCGUCGAAUUCAGUCUUCAAUUUCUCCUGAGCGGCGAUGCUGGAGACAAACUUGGCAUUCGCCUUCCGGGUCUCCAUCUCUUGAGUUUUUAACCGGCUCUUGAGACCCGCAAGGUCCGACUCAAAUUUCUUGCCAGUAGCCUGUAUAUGUUUCCGGGUUAUUAAACAGUCAUUAUAUAAGUCCCAAGAACUUUCCAAGCAAAGACACUUGGCACUUGGGGGCUAAUGCAUAUUGAACGUGUCUAUCUACGUACUGCUGGUUCAAUUAAGUAAGCCGGACUCUAAGUCUACAACAUAUGCCAAGUAUAAGUUAUAGACUUGGGGGCUAGCAUGACAAGGAUCACUAUGCGGAAAGUAAGAAGACAACAGAAGGUUACCUCAGACUUUUGUUGGAUCUGAUUGACCAUGGCGAUCUCCGCGUCCCGGCUCUUGUGAACCUGGCUGAUGUAGCCAGAAACGAGCUCUCCAAUGCUCAAAUCGGGGUAGCCCGAGAGAUCCAGAUUCGCCCGGUGGGGUCGCAGCAGCUCCCCCUUCGCGGAGCAUUGGGCCAGUGCGGUCGGCCUCCCCGGUUCAACAUACUCCGUCCGGGUAAUUACCACGUCCGGGUCGUUAGCCGGUGGGGUUGAGCCGGAGGCCUCCGGAUUAGCUGACGCUUCGGUCGUUGUCUUGGUGGUCGGGGCAGGGGCUUCAGGCGCCGUAUCCAUGGGAAUGGUGGCCUCGGAGGCGGCUGGCGGAUCUUGAGCCGUCGUCUCCGGCUCAGGCAAGUCCGGGACUCCGGCUGACCUGGUCUUCUUUGCUCUUUUGGUGAGCUUUGCCUGGGCACUGAAAAGACAGAAGUGUUAGGCAUACAAAGAGUAAAUACAGACAGGUAAUGUAAGGUGAUUGUUAUUACCCGGGUGCAGUUUUGAAGGCCGGCAGGCUUGACUGCAUGGAGUCACCAGAAGAAGGGGAGGUCUCCUGGUAAUUGGAGUCAGAAGAAUUAAGCGGUUGACGGAUAACACCCGCCAACGGAUGAAAAGGGUACAAGUGAGAAAAGACCUCGGUGCGACGUUUCUUGUCGCGUCGGGUAACCCGGCGGAGAGGUCGGUGUCCUUGCGGGCCCGGGUGAGACGCCGGCUUUCGUGAACCUGCUGCUUCAAAAGAAAUUGAGGGUCUUGAUGAGCUAAUGGAUGAGAAAAGCUUACUUUCCGGGUUACCCUUCGGACUUUCAGCUGUGGCAAAGGCUCCAAGUCGGAGGGGAGUAAUGUUACCUCUUCAAUCACCGGGUUACUGGCGCCGGUGUCAUCCUGUCAAUAAGCAAAAUGAUGGUAAAGUGGACAGCAGCAAACAAUAAAUAUGGCGAGAGUUUAAAGGUUUAAGGGUUACCUCUGACUCGGAGCUAUCGCUUAAUUGCAGCAGCUCCGAAGCAGUGGGUCUAUUUCCCUUUUUGCGAGGGGCGGCUCUCUUGGCGGCUUUCUUCGCCUUCCUGGCCUUCUUGGCCGCCUCAUGGUCAUACUUGACCCGCCAGAAUUUAUCAUCAGCCUGAGAAAUACAGUAAUGAGUUCUUAGUAAGAUGACAGGUAAAAAAAAUGGAAAGGUUAAAGUCAGCGGCUUACCGCUGGGGCUGGAUUGGUCUUGCAGAACGGGGCUAGCCCGGUUUUACCACAGUCUGCCAGGCUCUCGUUUAAUAGAGCCUUGGUCUCUUCUUCGGCAACGUCUUCUGGAAGGUCGUUGCAACUGUGCCUUUGCGGGUCAUCCUUUCGCCCGGUGUACUCACACAUUAAGCCGGGGCGGCGGCUCAAUGGGAUCACCUGCCAUGAGAUCCAGACCCGGACCAGGUCUAUUCCGUUCAGACCGUUGCCUAGCAGGGCCUUGAUCUUAUUGAUCGUUGGAAGCAGAGGCUGGCGUUCCGCGGCAGUCAGCUUGUCGGAUAGCGGAUGAGUCGGCUCCAGGCGCGUUGGGCGAAAGCCGGGCAGCGGGCUCUCAUCAGCCGGGGACGUGUCUUGGCAGUAGAACCAAGUCAUGUUCCAGUCCUUGGGGUGACUUGGCGGUUCUGCGUAAGGAAAUAGACAGUCCCUGCGCCGUUGGAUGGAGAUGCCGCCUAACUCUAGACUUGGACCGUUUGCGCACUCGGUUUGGCGGUUCAAACAAAACAGCUCUCUGAAGAGCAGCAGACUCGGCUCUUCUCCAAGAUAUACUUCACAAAAAACUUGGAAGUUGCAGAUGUUGGAUAUGGAAUUGGGUCCUAUAUCCUGAGGCCGAAGGUCAAAGAAGUUGAGCACGUCCCGGAAGAAUUUUGAGCCGGGCGGUGCGAAGCCCCGGCUCAUAUGGUCUGCAAAGAUCACUACCUCCCCGUCCCUCGGCUGAGGUCUUUCUUCGGACGGGUCAGGGGCACGGUAGGACAUCACUUCCUUCUUGGGCAGAUAUCCGGACGUAACAAAGUUGGCCAGGGUCUCUUCGGUGACGUUGGAUUUCAUCCAGUUGCAAGUGAUGGGAGCCUUGGGAGGCAUGGUGACGGUUGGUGGUCUAUGAGGAAGAGAAAGGUGUCCGGGUUAAUUAUAAGCCGGGGAUUAUCAUUCAAACUACAGUGACGGCUUAUGAAGGGGACUAAUGAUAUAUAUUGAUAUGGUGGGUUAUCUAAGCUGUCGGGGCUUUCAGGUUAAGUUGGUCAUCUACGGCUUACUGCAGUUAAGUCAGAGGAUUUUACAGAGCAUGGUUCUCUUUAAACCGGACAUGUAAGCCGCCGAGAUUCAAUGGUUGCGUUUUUACUAAGUGUGGUAAACAGGUUUCACAUACUACCGUAACUUUUUUGGAUCAAAAUAGUCGGAGCAGAGAACAUUUUCUAGACCUAAAAAACAGAGGCAGGAGAAGUUCUUGAGGUUGAACACAGUUCUUAUGCAGUAAAAAGAGGAUUUCUUGCAGAUGAAAUGAGUUCCGAACGUCUACCGCAGUGGUUUUACGCAAGGAUAAAGAUCAACCGACUACAGUGGUGACGAGGACUGCCGAGUUUCUGGGCAAAGGUGACGAACACGAAGAACGGGAGGAACCCUACCACAGAUUUGUUCUAGCAAGGCAGAGAAGACUCACCGGAGUUGAGGAAGAGCGAAGGUCGCCGCCGUUAUCUGGUCCGGGUCAGGGUGAUGCAGCGGCCGGGUCGAUGAAGAUCAGGGGCGCGACGGCGGCGGCGGCGGCAGAAGCUCGGGCAGAGGAACGACAGCGCGAGGAAGAAGAAGGAGAGUGUGAGAAGAGAGUGCCGGGCCGGCCUAUUUAUAAGGUAAGUCAUAAGUGGGCGCGAGAUUCAAGGAGACCACGGCGUGGUUAUCUCCCCCUCACGGCGCCUCGAUUUUCGCAAAGACAGUAAAAGCAGAGAUCCGUUGUGGAUCUGGCGGAGUAAAAAACGGACUUAAUGGAGGAUGACGUCACGGCGGAUUAUCCGGAGUCCGGAGAAUGACGUCACUCCGAGUUAUGGCCUUCACACGAACGGUAAGCCGGAGAUUUUUCUGUCGGCGGAGUUGAAGAUUGAUACGAGCCGGCUCAAGUCAAUCUGGGGCCUAAUGUUGAGGAUAUAGACCUGGGAGUCACCCGCCAGGAGGGCCGGGUUACACUAAGGGUCAUUGCCAGAAGCCCGGAGCUAAGUUUCAAGAUAAUGGGCCAGAGAUGGGCUGAGACCCGGCGAUGGCUUAAAGCCCGUAGUACAAUCUUUAUUGUUAUAGUAGACUUGUAGUGUAAGGCAAGUAUUGUUUAGAGUCCGAGCCGGACACUCUUAUGAGCCGGCCGGGACUCUAAGGGCCGCUGGGUGUCAACCUCCCUAUAUAAAGGGACGACCCGGCAGCGGUUUAGGGACGACAACAAUCUGAUCGAGAGCCGGGCAUAGCUGUUUAGCUCCCUGGUUAUCGAAACCCUGAUUAAUACCACCUCAACUGGACGUAGGCUUUUACCUUCACCGUAAGGGGCCGAACCAGUAUAAACCCUCGUGUUCCUUGUCCCACUUAACCCCUUCAAGCUUCCCAAUUGCGAUGGCUCCACGACUAAGUCCUAACCCGAGGACAUCUGCCGUGACAAUUCCACGACAGGAUCCGAUUGGAUCUGGCCGGGCUCGUGCUCGGGUGCUCGCCGGGGCGGCGGAGCAGCUCGCCGGCGGGAGGAGAGGAGAGGCCGGAGAGGGGAUGUGGCCGGCGAUAGAGGAGGCGCCGGCGGCGAGGGGCACGGCUCCGGGCGGCGCGACGGCGGCGUCCACUGGUGCGGAGGAGCGGCGAAGGGCGGCGGGGCCCCGGGCGGCGGCGGUCGGCAGCACCGGCGGCCGGGCGCGGGAGGCGGCGGUGCGGGGGAGGAGCCGCGGCUCGGGCUGCGGGGCGCUCGGGCCCGGCGCGGGGACGGGCGGGCCGGCCUCGGGCCUCGCGGGCCCGCGGUGGCGCGCGGCGUCGCUUGCCACGAGGCGGUUACUGGUUGGCGCGGGGGCGGCUGCUGAGGGCGGCGGACAUGUCCGGGCGGCGGGGACUUCGUCCGGUGGCGCGAGGAGGGGGAAGGCUAGGGUUUAGACUGCGAUGUUAUUUCGGGAUGCCCACAUAUUUAUAGGUAGAGGGAGCUAGGAGGCUCCAAAUGAGGUGCGGUUUUCGCCCACACGAUCGUGAUCGAACGACCUGGGACAUGGAAGAGAGUUUGGUGCGUUUGGGGCUGGAUUUAGAGGGGGUUUUUGCUGGACACUCAAAUGGACUUUGCGGAUGCCCGGUUAACCGUUGUAGUACCAAACGACCUCCAAAUGGAACGAAACUUGACCGGUGGUCUCCAGGUGGUAUAAUAAGGCCACUUGACAAGCCUCGGUCCAUUCCGAGAAAGUUUGACACCCGCACACGAAAGGAAACAAGAGGGGUGCACCGAAGGAGAUAGGAGCGCCGGAUUGGAAAACGGACAACGGGGAAAAUACUCGGAUGCAUGAGACGAACACGUAUGCAAAUGCAAUGCACAUGAUGACAUGAUAUGAAAUGCAUGACAUGACAAAAUACAAAACGAAAGACAAAACCCGACCACGGAGGGAAUAACAUAUCACAAAGCCGAAAAUGGCAAGAGUCGGAGUUACAAAUAUGGCAAGUUACAUGCGGGGUGUUACAAGACGUCGCUGCUCCGUACGUGUGUUGAACGCGGAGGUGCCGUCCGUUCGACACUCGGUCAUCGGUGAUUUGGAUCACGGCGAGUACGACUCCGUCAACCUCGUUCAUUGGAACGCUUCCGCUCGCGAUCUACAAGGGUAUGUAGAUGCACUCCUUUCCCCUCGUUGCUAGUAUACUCCAUAGAUGGAUCUUGGUGAUGCGUAGGAAAUUUUAAAAUUAUGCUACGAUCCCCGACAGUGGCAUCAUGAGCCAGGCCUAUGCGUAGUUACUAUGCACGAGUAGAACACAAAGCAGUUGUGGGCGUAGAUGUUGCCAAUUCUUCUUGCCGCUACUAGUCUUAUCUUGUUUCGACGGUAUUGUGGGAUGAAGCGGCCCGGACCGACCUUACACGUACGCUUACGUGAGACAGGUUCCACCGACUGACAUGCACUAGUUGCAUAAGGUGGCUAGCGGGUGUCUGUCUCUCCCACUUUAGUCGGAACGGAUUCGAUGAAAAGGGUCCUUAUGAAGGGUAAAUAGAAAUUGGCAUAUCACGUUGUGGUUUUACGUAGGUAAGAAACGUUCUUGCUAGAAACCUAUACAAGCCACGUAAAAACUUGCAACAACAAUUAGAGGAUGUCUAACUUGUUUUUGCAGCAUGUGCUAUGUGAUGUGAUAUGGCCAGAAGAUGUGAUGAAUGAUAUAUGUGAUGUAUGAGAUUGAUCAUAUUCUUGUAAUAGGAAUCACGACUUGCAUGUCGAUGAGUAUGACAACCGGCAGGAGCCAUAGGAGUUGUCUUUAUUUUUUGUAUGACCUGCGUGUCAUUGAAUAACGCCAUGUAAAUUACUUUACUUUAUUGCUAAACGCGUUAGCCAUAGAAGUAGAAGUAAUCGUUGGCGUGACAACUUCAUGAAGACACAAUGAUGGAGAUCAUGAUGAUGGAGAUCAUGGUGUCAUGCCGGUGACGAAGAUGAUCAUGGUGCCCCGAAGAUGGAGAUCAAAGGAGCAAAAUGAUAUUGGCCAUAUCAUGUCACUAUUUGAUUGCAUGUGAUGUUUAUCAUGUUUUGCAUCUUAUUUGCUUAGAACGACGGUAGUAAGUAAGAUGAUCCCUUAUAAUAAUUUCAAGAAAGUGUUCCCCCUAACUGUGGACCGUUGCGAAGGUUCGUUGUUUCGAAGCACCACGUGAUGAUCGGGUGUGAUAGAUUCUAACGUUCGCAUACAACGGGUGUUGACGAGCCUAGCAUGUACAGACAUGGCCUCGGAACACACGCAAUACACUUAGGUUGACUUGACGAGCCUAGCAUGUACAGACAUGGCCUCGGAACACGGAGGACCGAAAGGUCGAGCAUGAGUCGUAUAGAAGAUACGAUCAACAUGGAGAUGUUCACCGAUCUUGACUAGUCCGUCUCACGUGAUGAUCGGACACGGCCUAGUUAACUCGGAUCAUGUUUCACUUAGAUGACUAGAGGGAUGUCUAUCUGAGUGGGAGUUCAUUGAGUAAUUUGAUUAGAUGAACUUAAUUAUCAUGAACUUAGUCUAAAAUCUUUACAAUAUGUCUUGUAGAUCAAAUGGCCCACGUUGUCCUCAACUUCAACGUGUUCCUAGAGAAAACGAAGUUGAAAGAUGAUGGCAGCAACUAUACGGACUGGGUCCGGAACCUGAGGAUCAUCCUCAUAGCUGCCAAGAAAGAUUAUGUCCUAGAAGCACCGCUAGGUGAAGCACCAAUCCCAGAGAACCAAGACGUUAUGAACGCUUGGCAAUCACGUGCCGAUGAUUACUCCCUCGUUCAGUGCGGCAUGCUUUACAGCUUAGAACCGGGUCUCCAAAAGCGUGUUGAGAAACAUGGAGCAUAUGAAAUGUUCGAAGAGCUGAAAAUGGUUUUCCAAGCUCAUGCCCGGGUCGAGAGAUAUGAAGUCUCCGACAAGUUCUUCAGCUGUAAAAUGGAGGAGAAAAGUUCUGUUAGUGAGCACAUACUCAGAAUGUCUGGGUUGCACAACCGCUUGUCUCAGCUGGGAGUUAAUCUCCCGGAUGACGCGAUCAUUGACAGAAUCCUUCAGUCGCUUCCACCAAGCUACAAGAGCUUUGUGAUGAACUUCAAUAUGCAGGGGAUGGAAAAGACCAUUCCCGAGGUAUAUUCAAUGCUGAAAUCAGCGGAGGUGGAGAUCAGAAAGGAACAUCAAGUGUUGAUGGUGAGUAAAACCACUAAGUUCAAGAAAGGCAAGGGUAAGAAGAACUUCAAGAAGGACGGCAAGGGAGUUGCCGCGCCCGGUAAGCCAGUUGCCGGGAAUAUGUCAAGGAAUGGACCCAAGCUUGAGACUGAGUGCUUUUAUUGCAAGGGAAGUGGUCACUGGAAGUGGAACUGCCCCAAAUACUUAGCGGACAAGAAGGCCGGCAACACCAAAGGUAUAUGUGAUAUACAUGUAAUUGAUGUGUACCUUACCAGUACUCGUAGUAGCUCCUGGGUAUUUGAUACCGGUGCGGUUGCUCAUAUUUGUAACUCAAAACAGGAACUGCGGAAUAAACGGAGACUGGCAAAGGACGAGGUGACGAUGCGCGUCGGGAAUGGUUCCAAGGUCGAUGUGAUCGCCGUCGGCACGCUACCUCUGCAUCUACCUACGGGAUUAGUUUUAAACCUCAAUAAUUGUUAUUUAGUGCCAGCUUUAAGCAUGAACAUUGUAUCUGGAUCUCGUUUAAUUCGAGAUGGCUACUCAUUUAAAUCCGAGAAUAAUGGUUGUUCUAUUUAUAUGAGAGAUAUGUUUUAUGGUCAUGCCCCGCUGGUCAAUGGUUUAUUCUUGAUGAAUCUCGAACGUGAUGUUACACAUAUUCAUAGUGUGAAUACCAAAAGAUGUAAAGUUGAUAACGAUAGUCCCACAUACUUGUGGCACUGCCGCCUUGGUCACAUUGGUGUCAAGCGCAUGAAGAAGCUCCAUGCAGAUGGACUUUUGGAGUCUCUUGAUUACGAAUCAUUUGACACGUGCGAACCAUGCCUCAUGGGUAAGAUGACCAAGACUCCGUUCUCCGGAACAAUGGAGCGAGCAACCAACUUAUUGGAAAUCAUACAUACCGAUGUGUGCGGUCCAAUGAGUGUUGAGGCUCGCGGAGGAUAUCGUUAUGUUCUCACUCUCACUGAUGACUUAAGUAGAUAUGGGUAUGUCUACCUAAUGAAACACAAGUCUGAAAACUUUGAAAAGUUCAAGGAAUUUCAGAGUGAGGUUGAGAAUCAACGUGACAGGAAAAUAAAAUUCUUACGAUCAUAUCGUGGUGGAGAAUAUUUAAGUCACGAAUUUGGUGCCCACUUAAGGAAAUGUGGAAUCGUUUCACAACUCACGCCGCCUGGAACACCUCAGCGAAACGGUGUGUCCGAACGUCGUAAUCGCACUCUAUUGGAUAUGGUGCGAUCUAUGAUGUCUCUUACCUUUCUGUUUGGGAACCGCCUAUAAUGUAUGUAGCAUGGAAGAUAUUGGGAACUCUUGGUCGUUAUGUUGAGAAUGAAAGCAUACCUCUCAAAAUUAUUUUCAUCUCUAUUUUUCCUUUGAGCUCUGGCACCUCUGCAAAUCCCUGCUUCCCUCUGCGAAGGGCCUAUCUUUUACUUUUAUGCAAGAGUCAGUAGUAUCCCUUCUCAUUCCAACCUACUCUUUAGUUGGCAAGCAUGAUGUGAUAGAAAGAUCUAGGCAUAUAUGGCCAUUCAAAUAUAUUUGAGCAUGAAUUAUUAUUGUUGACAUUAGCCUUGAGGUAAAAGGUUGGGAGGCGAAACAUUAAGCCCCUAUCUUUCUCUGUGUUCGAUGAAUACUAUUUGUUCUAAAAAUAUGCUUUGAGUGGUAGCAAUCAUGGAAGACUAAAAGAUAGUUGAGUCUGUGAAGUUUGCUGAAUCAAAGCUCUGACAUAGAAUCUUCUUGAAAAUAAGAUGAAUUGUAAUUGUUUGAUGACUAAUAAUACGGUUUGUUAGUUUUCAAGAAAGUUUAUGAUCUAUACACUACAAAAAAAGACACAUCCGUGACAUUUUGGGCCGAACGAAAUUUUUUCUGUCAUACAUAUGACACUUCUAUGAUGAUAAUUGUGACAAAACCCGGUAUCAUCAUAGAUGUGGUGGGCUCCUACUUCUGUGACAAAAAAUCAUGACAAAAAAUGGGCUUUUCGUCCUGGGCGGGCCAGAGACGCAGCUGCAUGACAUUCUUUGGGCUGUCCAUGACGGAAAAACCAUGGUAGAAGCGAGGGGGAGGAAAAUUUCGGGGAGUUCCCGGUUACGGUGGGAGGUCGGGGGCCGAGCGAUGCGCGUUUCUCUCGUACACGUACGCGCGUGUGUGCGAGGCGUUGGCUCUAACUGAACCCGAGCGAGGCGUUGGGCUCUAACUGAACCCGAGCGAUUGCACUGCAGGCUACGCGUUACCGAACCCGAGCGAUCGAUCGAUGGCUGUUAACUGAACCCGGUUGAGCGAUUCCUUCGCUACUGCUGNNNNNNNNNNNNNNNNNNNNNNNNNNNNNNNNNNNNNNNNNNNNNNNNNNNNNNNNNNNNNNNNNNNNNNNNNNNNNNNNNNNNNNNNNNNNNNNNNNNNNNNNNNNNNNNNNNNNNNNNNNNNNNNNNNNNNNNNNNNNNNNNNNNNNNNNNNNNNNNNNNNNNNNNNNNNNNNNNNNNNNNNNNNNNNNNNNNNNNNNNNNNNNNNNNNNNNNNNNNNNNNNNNNNNNNNNNNNNNNNNNNNNNNNNNNNNNNNNNNNNNNNNNNNNNNNNNNNNNNNNNNNNNNNNNNNNNNNNNNNNNNNNNNNNNNNNNNNNNNNNNNNNNNNNNNNNNNNNNNNNNNNNNNNNNNNNNNNNNNNNNNNNNNNNNNNNNNNNNNNNNNNNNNNNNNNNNNNNNNNNNNNNNNNNNNNNNNNNNNNNNNNNNNNNNNNNNNNNNNNNNNNNNNNNNNNNNNNNNNNNNNNNNNNNNNNNNNNNNNNNNNNNNNNNNNNNNNNNNNNNNNNNNNNNNNNNNNNNNNNNNNNNNNNNNNNNNNNNNNNNNNNNNNNNNNNNNNNNNNNNNNNNNNNNNNNNNNNNNNNNNNNNNNNNNNNNNNNNNNNNNNNNNNNNNNNNNNNNNNNNNNNNNNNNNNNNNNNNNNNNNNNNNNNNNNNNNNNNNNNNNNNNNNNNNNNNNNNNNNNNNNNNNNNNACCCCUCCCGAUCAACAGGACCCCCGUUUCAACCGUAGGAGGUCCGUUUCCUCCGUUUUGCGGUACGCCACACCCCUCCUGAUCAACAGGACCCCGUUCCAAACGUAGGAGGUCCGUUUCCUCCGUUCUGCGGUACGCCAGGCCUCGUUUCCAUCGCCUGUUCCGUCCAAGCCCUCCCGAUGAACACGACCACGCAUUCCGUUCCAACCCAGCCGGUUGGCUCCCACGCGUUCCGUUGCCUCCCGAUGAACACGACGCAUUCCGUUGCCUCUUGAUGAACACGACGCAUUCCGUUGCCUCCCCAUGAACAUGAUGAAUUCCGUUGCCUCCCCAUGAACACGACGCAUUCCGUUGCCUCCCAUGAACACGACGACGACGCUGUUUCUCCGUUCGGACCAAGCCAUGUACACGAGCCCUGGCCGUACAUAUGCGCGAGUAGGCGUUCGAGACCCUGCCCGUAUGUACACAUACGUGGUCGUAUUUUCUUUCUUGCACCCUGGCCGCUGUACGUACGUGUACAUGCUACGUGCGCGCCUCUACUAUGACACGUGCGCGCCUCUACUAUGACACGUGCGCGCCUCUACUAUGACACGUGCGCGCCUCUACAUCGAGCAUUAUGUACGUACACGUUCGCGACCAGAAUGACAACGCUACGUAUGCUUCGACCAGGUGGGUCCCGACUGUCAGACACUUCCUUGCGUGCGAAGAUGUAGCUGGUGGGUCCCAGCAGUCAGGGGGGCGAAUCGUUUUGUUUUAUUUGCCCGGACGCACUUCCUUGCGUGCGAAGGUGUAGCUGCUGGGUCCUAGCAGUCAGGGGGGUGAAUCAUUUUUUUUGUCCGGACGCACUUCCUUGCGUGCGAAGGUGUAGCUGGUGGGUCCCAGCAGUCGGGGGGCGAAUCGUUUUUUUUCGGACGCACUUCCUUGCGUGCGAAGAUGUAGCUGGUGGGUCCCAGCAGUCAGGGGGGCGAAUCAUUUUUUUUCCCGGACGCACUUCCUUCGUGCGAAGAUGUAGCUCGUGGGUCCCAGCAGUCAGGGGGCGAAUCAUUUUUUUUGCGAAAUACGGUGGCCCGUCCGGUGGGUCCCCGCUGUCAGGUGGAGGAAUAAUUAUUUUGCGCGUAAUAAGGAGGCACUUCCUUGCGGCUGCCGUGGACCCAGCUGUCAGCCUCUCCACGUACAGUCCACGUCCGAUGGAAGUCGUUCCUUGACCACGUUGACCACGCCGUGCCGAGAGCACCAGGGUGGUGGACGACGGUGAGGCCUAGGAAGGGGACGGCGCGGAGCCGGGGAAGACACGGCAGUGGAUGCACACGCGGAGAGGAGUACGAUUGUUCACUGGUUCGGCUGCGCUGCCGUCGCCGCAGAAUAACAGGGGGUGUGGGUGAGUGGAGGGAUGGCCUGGCCAACGGUGGGAGUAGUAGGGAGCGGUGCGGCCUCCGCGGCAGCACAGCCGGCCACGGGAGGCAGGAGCAGGCGGCACGACCAACGCUGCUUUGGGCGGCUGGAGCAAGAAGACCAGAGGUUGAAGAAGCACGACGGCCGUUGGAUGGACAUCGUACGGUCACUGCAGCUAGAAUCGUUUAUAUUGACUAAGUUGACAAAGCCCUUGGUACGUCAACUUAGUAGGCCCACAUGUCAGCUUCCGAAACGGUGCGCCCCAGAUGUCAGGGGGAGGAAUCAUUUUUUGGGCGGGUGAAGCUAGAAUAUCCGAGAUUGAAGAAGAAGCACGGCAUCCGUUGGAUGGACAUCCAACGGCCACUGCUGCUAGAACCGUGUGUUGACUAUAAGUUGACAAAGCCUUGCAUACGCGUCAACUCUGUUUUUCUUUAGGGGACGCGUCAACUUAGUAAGGCCAGAAGUGUGUGGCAGAGAACUUAUAGCCCAUUUGAGAUUUGUAAGAAUGUGUAGCCCAUUUUUGAAUUCUAAUGGAAUUUACUACGGCCCAUUUAUAGUUUGUUAAAAGUACAGCCCAUUUCAACCAACCGUUCAAAACAGAAUUCAAUAAAAUUUCCCACAUUUUGAUGGGAUCCGAAAUAUUUUUAUCCCGAAAUUUCUAGUCAGAUUAAAUAUAAUUUCAAUAUAAAUUUAUAUUACGUAAAAAUCCAACGAAACAUUGCGCUCGCAACAAUUAAUGAAAUAAAAAUUUUCAAUAUCCAAAAAUAAUAUUUUAUAAAGUAAUCACGUGUUUGGUGCAUUUUUUUAUAGUUACUGCCCAGUUUUUAUAAUUACAUCCCAUUUAUUAUUUCUUAAAGCCCAUUUUCUUGUUAAGCCUAAUGCAUCCCUCCUAGAAAAGAUUUGCAGCCCAGCGGGGCGGAGAAUAACAACUUGACCUUGCCUGGGUAUUCCUAAAAAAAGUAUAGCUGGGCUAGCCAUUUUCAGCUUGAAAAAAAUUAAUAUCUGGGCUGGAUAUCUGGCCUGGGCUAGACGGGCCACAGCCCGCCCAGUUAAUACCUGCAGCGAUGUUUUCGUUGUUGUUCAGAGGAGAAAAAUUAAUAUCUGGGCUAAACAUCGAAAAACUCUACAGUGCUCACACCUCAAAAACACAAAUACUGCUCGAGCUGCUUGGUCCCAGCUGUCGGCCGCUUCUUGUGCAAUUCUCUCGUUUAUUGACUACUACAUAGGUUGACAAUGGUGUGGGACCGUGAUGUCAGGAAACCAGGAGGAAGCAAAAUAAAUUAUAGUUAUAUAUAUAUAUAAUAAGGAGGCACUUGCGUACGUGAGGCUAUGGACCUGCUGGGUCCCCAUUGUCAUCCUCUCCAAGUAAAGUCAUCUCCUCGCCCGCGCGCGCUUUCCGCCCGAAACAGUCAGCGUCGCCCGCCCCGCUUCCCGGUGUAGGCGAUUGCUCCGCCUUCAAAUGACACAAGUGCCGUCCGUCCGUCCAUCUGCCGCCCACAUUAAUGAUACGCGGUUGCCGAGGCGGCUACUCCGGCGCCACACGUCCGUCCCUCCGCCCGCCCACCAUUGCUAUAUAAACUGCUGCGCCGGCCAUAGCCGCAGUCAUCCGCAUCCGUUCCCUUUCUCCUGUCCACACCAUACUGCCCACCAUGGCUUCCUCGCGCUCCAGCGCUCUUCGGGACGGGCGGACGAUGGACCACAAGGAGAUGGCAGCCAUUGCUGCCGACCGGCUGGCCGGCAGGCAGCCGGAGGACGACGACGUCCCAAUGGAGAACAUGGUAGUCGACGAUCCGGCGCCAACCCCCUCCUCCGCGCCAUCCUCGCCGGUGCAUUGCACCAUGACCAUCGGCGAGGCCCGUGCCCAAUAUAUGGACAGGGUGAGGCAGAUGCGUGAGGAGCAGUUCCGGGAGGUGCAGGCCGACGCCGCCUACAACCACCAUCUCCUCCAGGAGCACCUGCAGGCGGAGGAGCAGAUCGCCGCAGAGCGGGCGGAGCAGGAGGCGCUGCUCGACUCGUACCGCUCCACCCGCAAGGGCCGCCUCGAGCGCUCGCGGUACCGCAUGUAAUUUAAUGUACAAUGCUAUGAAGCUUCCAACUUCUGUUACAUGUAUCUUGCGUCCAAGGUUGCCCGUUGCAACAUUUCAUCAAAUACAAAGGAGACUAACAUGCAUGCUAUUGCAUCUCAAUGAUUGACAGAUCAUAGCAAAUAUGUACUCCCUCCGUUCCAAAAUAAGUGUCUCAACUUUGUGCAAACUUUAGUACAAAGUUGUACUACUACUAAAGUUGACACUUAUUUUGGAACAGAGGCAACUAAAGAAAAAAA